GGAGACAUCAUCCUGCCAAGUUUCACAUAAAACAAAGUUCCCUAGAAGCCCUAGCAUUUCAUCAAACACCUUGUGGACAUGGCUGAAAACAUGCAAUUCUCUAAAACUUUGCACUGAACCAACUUCACCAUCAUCACAUACAUGAAGGAAGGACAGAGGAGAGGGGUGGGAGGGAGGAGGGAGUACCGGCCUGUCCGGCGGGCAGUGGUGCGGCGGCGUUGACGGCAGGGCAGGGGCGUGGCGCAGCGUCGGGGCAGGGCAGGGGCGCGGCGGCGUUGGCGUCGAGGUCGAGGCAGGGGCGCACGNNNNNNNNNNNNNNNNNNNNNNNNNNNNNNNNNNNNNNNNNNNNNNNNNNNNNNNNNNNNNNNNNNNNNNNNNNNNNNNNNNNNNNNNNNNNNNNNNNNNNNNNNNNNNNNNNNNNNNNNNNNNNNNNNNNNNNNNNNNNNNNNNNNNNNNNNNNNNNNNNNNNNNNNNNNNNNNNNNNNNNNNNNNNNNNNNNNNNNNNNNNNNNNNNNNNNNNNNNNNNNNNNNNNNNNNNNNNNNNNNNNNNNNNNNNNNNNNNNNNNNNNNNNNNNNNNNNNNNNNNNNNNNNNNNNNNNNNNNNNNNNNNNNNNNNNNNNNNNNNNNNNNNNNNNNNNNNNNNNNNNNNNNNNNNNNNNNNNNNNNNNNNNNNNNNNNNNNNNNNNNNNNNNNNNNNNNNNNNNNNNNNNNNNNNNNNNNNNNNNNNNNNNNNNNNNNNNNNNNNNNNNNNNNNNNNNNNNNNNNNNNNNNNNNNNNNNNNNNNNNNNNNNNNNNNNNNNNNNNNNNNNNNNNNNNNNNNNNNNNNNNNNNNNNNNNNNNNNNNNNNNNNNNNNNNNNNNNNNNNNNNNNNNNNNNNNNNNNNNNNNNNNNNNNNNNNNNNNNNNNNNNNNNNNNNNNNNNNNNNNNNNNNNNNNNNNNNNNNNNNNNNNNNNNNNNNNNNNNNNNNNNNNNNNNNNNNNNNAGAGAGGCAGAUCGAAGAACUGAAUAAAAAAUUUCACAAGUCCAGCUUAUAUACACAGAGCAUUGGUCCCAGUUCGUGCCACCAACCGGUACCAAUGCCCCCCUCCCUUUAGUACCGGUUGGUGCCACCAACCGGGACCAAAUGUCUCUUUUCAGCAGUCCAAAGGGCGGGAAGCGGCGGCCUUUGGUCCCGGUUGGUGGAACCAACCGGUACUAAAGGAGGGGAAUUGGUUCCGGUUGGUGGGACGAACCGGUACCAAUGCCCACCUUUAGUCCCGGUUGGUGCCACCAACCGGGACCAAAGGCCGCGCACAGCGGCGUGGUGGUGGGAGUUUAGUCCCACCUCGCUAGUUGAGAAGGGCGCGCAGUGGUUUAUAAGCCCCACUGCCGCACCCCUCUCGAGCUCCUCUCUAUUGCAGGCUUACGGGCCUAAUUGUCACUGCUAUGCCAGAUGGGCCUACUGGGCCUUCUGCGGGCCUAAAUCCUGGCCCAUUGAUGGGUUUCUAGUCGUAUUCAGGCCGUGGUGGCCCAGUAAGUGGCAUUUUUUUUAUUUUUUCCCAGUUUUUUUGUUUUCUUUUUUGCUUUUUUGUUUUGUUUCUACUUACAACAAAAUACUUAUUUAUUUUAUUUUAUUUUGUUUCUACUUAUAUAUUUGCUAUUAAAGUUUCUAACAAACAAACUUCUUUAUGAAAAUUCUUUUUGCUUUUAAUGAUUUUGAACAGAAAAUACUUUGAUAAUUUUAGUUGCAUCAAUUUUAUAUAANNNNNNNNNNNNNNNNNNNNNNNNNNNNNNNNNNNNNNNNNNNNNNNNNNNNNNNNNNNNNNNNNNNNNNNNNNNNNNNNNNNNNNNNNNNNNNNNNNNNNNNNNNNNNNNNNNNNNNNNNNNNNNGUUUCAUAAAUUUUAGAGGUUGCUUAUAAUGUUUUGAACAGAAAAUACAUUGAUAAUUUUAGUUUCAUAAAUUUUAUUUAUGUUAUUAAAGUUUAUUUUAUUUUAUUUUGUUUUGUUUCUACUUAUAUAUUUUAUUAAAGUUUAUAUUAUUUUGUUUCAAAUACUUAUUUAUUUUAUUUUAUGAUAAUUCUUUUUGCUAUUAAAUUUUCAUGCAUUUACUGAUUAUUUUAUUUUCUUUCUCUUUCAAAGUAUCAGGGUUUCAUACGGAAACUCGUCUGUCACAAAAGGAUUUCAUUUUUUUGAACUCCAUAGUUUUUCUAUGUUCAAAAUGCACCAUUCAAAGCCACAUCAUCAAUUUUCAACCCUUUCUGACUUCAUUUGUUAUUUUUCAUGCAUUUACUGAUUUUUUUUCCAGCUAUAAGACCCUGAAAUUGAAAAGCAUUUCAAAUGAACUCUGAAAAGGUUAAAAGUUGGCAUGGUAUCAUCAUUUCACCCACAUAGCAUGUGCAAGAAAGUAGAGAGGCUUAUGGCAAAAACUGGAUGCACUUCGUGUACAAAACGGACAAUCUCUUUGGAAGUAUCAGGGUUUCAUACGGAAACUCGUCUGUUACAAAAGGAUUUCAUUUUUUGAACUUAUUUGAACUCCAUAGUUUUUCUAUGUUCAAAAUGCACCAUUCAAAGCCAGAUNNNNNNNNNNNNNNNNNNNNNNNNNNNNNNNNNNNNNNNNNNNNNNNNNNNNNNNNNNNNNNNNNNNNNNNNNNNNNNNNNNNNNNNNNNNNNNNNNNNNNNNNNNNNNNNNNNNNNNNNNNNNNNNNNNNNNNNNNNNNNNNNNNNNNNNNNNNNNNNNNNNNNNNNNNNNNNNNNNNNNNNNNNNNNNNNNNNNNNNNNNNNNNGGGUUUCAUACGGAAACUCGUCUGUUACAAAAGGAUUUCAUUUUUUGAACUUAUUUGAACUCCAUAGUUUUUCUAUGUUCAAAAUGCACCAUUCAAAGCCACGUCAUCAAUUUUCAACCCUUUCUGACUUCAUUUGUUAUUUUUCAUGCAUUUACUGAUUUUUUCAGCUAUAAGACCCUGAAAUUGAAAAGCAUUUCAAAUAAACUUUGAAAAGGUUAAAAGUUGGCAUGGUAUCAUCAUUUCACCCACAUAGCAUGUGCAAGAAAGUAGAGAGGCUUGCGGCAAAAAAUGGAUGCACUUCGUGUACAAAACGGACAAUCUCUUUCGAAGUAUCAGGGUUUCAUACGGAAACUCAUCUGUUACAAAAGGAUUACAUUUUUUUGAACUUAUUUGAACUCCAUAGUUUUUCUAUGUUCAAAAUGCACCAUUCAAAGCCACAUCAUCGAUUUUCAACCUUUUCUGACUUCAUUUGUUAUUUUUCAUGCAUUUUCUGAUUUUUUUUCAGCUAUAAGACCCUGAAAUUGAAAAGCACUACAAAUGAACAUGGAUAGAUAAGUGACCAAAUUAAUAGUAGUUCAUCAUCGCAUUAAAACCAAUGUACAUACAUAGUUCAAAUUGAACAACAUAUAGCUCUCCAGAGCAUCUAGUUAAACCAUACAUUGAAACUAUGUAAAACCUUUCAAUGCAACAACAAAUGCGAUCAUAAUCACAACUAAGGUAACAAUUGAUCCAACGGCAUAAUGAUACCAAGCCUCGAUAUGAAUGACAUAUUUUCUAAUCUUUCUAAUCUUCAACCGCAUUGCAUCCAUCUUGAUCUUGUGAUCAUCGACGACAUCCGCAACAUGCAACUCCAAUAUCAUCUUCUCCUCCUCAAUUUUUUUUAUUUUUUCCUUCAAGUAAUUGUUUUCUUCUUCGACUAAAUUUAACCUCUCGAUAAUAGGGUCGGUUGGAAUUUCCGGUUCAACCACCUCCUACAUAUAUAAAAUCUAUGUCACGUUGGUCAGCAUAAUUGUCAUAAACAAUAAAUGAACCAAAUAGUUAUAAAAAGAUAAUAUAUACCACAUCCGAAUCAUAGACAGGACGAGGGCCGACGGGGGCGGAUACCAGAACCAUCGCACUAUAUAAUAAGAAGGAAUAAAAAAAGUAAGAAAAUUAGACAAGUAUCUAUCUCAAGUAAGAAUUUUUUUCUUUCAGAAAGAAGAUAAGAACAAGAGGCUCACCACGGUGGUGCCGGCGACGAGAUCGGCGCGGGCGAUCGAUGGCGGUGAAGACGGAGACGGGACGUGACGGACCGCUAAACCUAGAAAAAUCUCAGGGAAAAUGGAGCUCGGAGGUCGAGUUUCGAGAGAAGAAAUAUUAACUAGUGUGGCUUGGACAUUUCAUCGAACACCUCAUGUGCAUAGGAGGUGAGCUAGAGCACCCAAAUGCCCUCCCCUCGCCGGCCAGCAAAAAACAGAGCAGGGUGGAAUGCUCUGCUCGCUGGCGAUGGGCUAUAUAUAGGCAAAUCAUUUGUCCCGGUUCGUGGCUAGAACCGGGACCAAUGGUGAUGGGCCAGGAGCGAGGCCCAUUGGUCCCGGUUCGUUCCUAGAACCGGGACAACUGGGUCCAGAUGAACCGGGACCAAAGCCCGCGAGGCCCUGGCCGGUCACCUGGGCUCACGAACUGGGACGAAUGCACCCGUUGGUCCCGGUUCGUAUAAGAACCGGGACUAAUGGGCUGGCCAGGCCCGAACGAAAGCCCCUUUUUCUACUAGUGUUAUUCAAGAAGCCCAAAAAAGCCAUCAAAAGAAUUGGCCCUAGUAAUUCAGGAUGGAGGGAGUACUAUACAGAACAGCAAGAUGAUCAUCUGCACAUGGUUUAGUAUCUAGCACUAUCUACAAUGGCCAUCAGUAUACCGGAAUGACUAGGAAUGUAUUCAGAUUAAACAAUAUACACCCUUGCUGAAUAAGGACACCAAGGUCAGGGAGGCAAUAGAUCUAGAUAACAAAUAUAUCCACAGUUCAGCUGAGUAUGAGAGGCACAAUAAUAAGGUUCAGCCUCAACACACGAGCUGGUAAAGACUAAUACUUGAUAAUUCCAUCAGACAAACUUAUUUGUUAACUCUCAGCGGGAAUCCUAGGGUUAGGUUCUGCAGCUGCCAAUCGGAUACCAACCCACUGCCGUGCUAAAUGUCCAGUACAAGUUCCUUUUUGAUAUAUUUCUAUACACUGUACACACUGAUACAGGAUCCGCUAUACCUGCCUGUGAAAUAAAGACUCGUUUGGAAGGAAAUCAGACCCUAUGGUUACUGAUAUCAACCCACUGCAAUGCUGAGUGUUCAGCCCCUGUUUAAAUUAGCCUGGUCUGUAUGCCGUUGCUGGCUAGCUGGUGGCUGCCACUUCCCCUUUCUGCAUCAAUCAGGACAGCAUUGAUUCCACACAUGUCAAAAGGAUCAAAUAUAUUUUCAGACAUUUGAGUGGCGACAAACUAAUUGAUAAGAUGAGUAAUUUCGAAUUUUUUUCAAAGCAAUGUUAAUCUAGUAUGGCCAUGGUUACGUAACAGCUGCAGUAAACAACAUGCAGAGCUAGCCAAUGCACAACUGUAAUAGUACUACUUCCGUGGAUGUGCAGAGACAGCUGCGAUCGAUGCCACUGAAGCGUGCUCGGCCGGCAAGUGAGCGGUUGGUUGGUCAGCUACUCGAGCUAGGUCGUGGUGGAACAAUGAACCUUGUUGGAAUAAACACAAACACCUGGCGGGCAGGCGGGUGGGUGGAAGCUGUCCUCAUGGCAGUGCGCGGGUGCUGGACUGUUUCGGCCAGCGAGCAGAGCAGCUCGACGGUGACGAUGCAUCUUCACCCUGCCGUACCGCCUCCGCCUGCUCUCAGCGAGGAGCUCAGAGGAGACCUUGUUGUCUGACUAUCUGCGAUGGAAGUGAAAAGGGAGUUCAGAAGUGAAAAGUGAAAAGGGAUUUGUGGGACCCGUUGUGUAGGGUGUCAGACGCAGAAAUCGAGGAGUUGGGCCUCGCUUGCACUACUCAGGAAAUCGAUGCGGCCGUCCAUGGCAUGAAGUCAGAUACGGCUCCUGGGCCGGAUGGCUGGCCUAUGGCCAUGUUCAAACGGUUCUGGCCUUUCUUCUAGGGACAGAUUUUCGGGGUGUGCAAUGGUUUCAUGCGUGGAGAGGUGGAUAUCUCCCGCUUGAACUUUGGGAUCCUCUCCCUUAUUCCUAAAGUGCAGGGUGCGGAUAAUAUUAGGCAAUUUAGACCUAUUGCGUUGAUUAACGUGCCGUUCAAAAUCUGCUCUAAAGCCUGAUCCACGCGGCUGACUCCGGUAGCUCAUCGCAUUAUUAGUAGACAUCAGUCCGCGUUCAUUAGAGGUCACAACAUUUUGGAGAGGCCCCUCACCCUUCUCGAGAUCGCUCACACGCUCAAACGUUCGCGGCAGCCCGUGAUUCUGUUAAAACUUGAUUUUGAAAAGGCGUACAAUCGCGUUAGUUGGGACUUCCUUAGACAGGUCCUCUUGGGAAGAGGAUUUUCGUCUGUAUGGGUCCACCACAUGAUGCAGUUGGUCUCGGGGGGCCAAACGGCAAUUGCGGUUAACGGUGAAGUAGGUCACUACUUUCGCAAGAAGCGGGGACUUCGUCAGGGCUGUUGGAAACGAAUAUUUUGGCAAUGCUACUCGAUGUAUUGAUCGGUGCAUAGUGCACGUAUAUAUGGAGUACAAGGUGGGCCACAACCUCAACUAUACAAUGACUAGGAGGUGGGCCGGACUAUACAAUAUACAUGCACGAACCAUAUAUUCAACACCCCCCCCCCCCACGCAGUCAAAGCGUCGCCGGAGACGCAAAGACUGGACCUAAACUCCUCGAAAACAGAAGUAGGCAGUCCUUUUGUCAUAACAUCGGCAAACUAUUGCGCCGUCGGGACGUGGAGGACCCGGAUGCGCCCAAGGGCCUCCUGCUCACGAACAAAGUGUAUGUCGAGCUCAAUGUGCUUCGUUCGUCGAUGGUGGACCGGGUUGGCGGAGAGGUACACGGCGGAGACGUUGUCGCAGUAGACGAGCGUGUCCUUGUGAACAUCACAAAGCAACUCCUGGAGCAGCUGACGAAGCCAAGAGCAUUCGGCAACGGCGUUAGCCACUGCCCGAUACUCUGCCUCGGCACUCGAGCGGGAGACUGUGGGCUGUCACUUGGAAGACCAAGAGAUCAGAGACGGCCCAAGGUAGACACAAUACCCCGAAGUGGAGCGUCGUGUGUCCAGGCAGCCAGCCCAGUCCGCAUCAGAGUAGGCGACGAGGUCGGUGGAGGCGGAGGCCGUCAGUGUAAGUCCCAUGGACGGGGUGCCGCGUAUGUAACGGAGGAUAUGCUUCACCAAGGUCCAGUGAGAGUCACGCGGAGCAUGCAUGUGAAGACAGACCUGCUGAACGGCAUACUGCAAGUCAGGGCGCGUCAGAGUAAGGUACUGCAAAGCACCCACAAUGGAGCGAUAGAAGGCCGCGUCGGAUGCGGGAGAGCCCUACAGAGCUGAAACCUUGGCCUUGGUGUCAACACGCGUGGGAGCGGGCUUGCAGUUAAGCAUGCCAGCACGAUCGAGAAGCUCAUGGGCGUAACGCUGCUGGUGCAGAAAGAACCCAUCUGGCCGUCGAACCACCUCAAUGCCGAGGAAAUAGUGGAGGGGCCCCAAGUCCUUCAGGGCAAACUCAUCGCGAAGGCGAGCAGUAAGCCGCUGGAGGAGCGCUACAGUGGAUGCCGUCAGGAUGAUGUCGUCGGCGUAGAGCAACAAGUAGGCCGUGUCAACCCCGUGAUGGUACACGAAGAGGGACACGUCGGAGCGAGUCGAUGUAAAUUUGAGCGUCUGCAGGAAGGCAGCGAUGCGUUGGUACCAGGCCCGAGGCGUCUGCUUCAACCCGUAAAGAGAACGGGAGAGCAAGCACACAUGGUCCGGAUGUGUGGCGUCGACGAAGCCGGUGGGCUGCUCACAGAACACCUGCUCGGCGAGGUGGCCGUGCAAGAAGGCGUUGGAGACGUCCAACUGAUGCACAGGCCAAGCUCGGGAGAUGGCCAGCUGAAGCACGGUGCAGAUCGUGCCCGGUUUAACAAUCGGGGCAAAAGUGUCGGUGAAGUCCAUGCCCGCACGUUGCCGAAAGCCUCGAACCAUCCAGCGAGCUUUGUAGCGCUCGAGAGUGCCAUCCGGACGAGUCUUGUGCCGAAAGACCCACUUGCCCGUGAUGAUGUUGGCACGAGGCGGCCGAGGGACAAGCUGCCAGGUACGGUUCCGUUGGAGCGCGUCGAACUGUUCCUGCAUCGCAGCGAGCCAAUGAGGAUCCGGAAGGGUGGCUCGAGCUGACGAUGGGAGAGGGGACGACUCGAAGAUGGAAGCAGCGAGAAGAUACUCAUCGCUGGUGUACUGCGUACUCGGGCGUAAGGUGCCAGCCCGAGAGCGAGUCAUCGGGCNNNNNNNNNNNNNNNNNNNNNNNNNNNNNNNNNNNNNNNNNNNNNNNNNNNNNNNNNNNNNNNNNNNNNNNNNNNNNNNNNNNNNNNNNNNNNNNNNNNNNNNNNNNNNNNNNNNNNNNNNNNNNNNNNNNNNNNNNNNNNNNNNNNNNNNNNNNNNNNNNNNNNNNNNNNNNNNNNNNNNNNNNNNNNNNNNNNNNNNNNNNNNNNNNNNNNNNNNNNNNNNNNNNNNNNNNNNNNNNNNNNNNNNNNNNNNNNNNNNCGAAGACGAAGAAGAGCCCGCCACCGCCGAUGCCAUGGGCAAGACCGCGGGCGAGGCCGCGGGCGAAACCGCCGCGGGUGUGGUCGCGGGCAAGGCCGCAGGCGAGGGCGCGGGGAGCGCCGAGGAGGCCCGCGCGGCAGCCGGGGAGGCCGAUGGCGGCGCAGGGGAUGUCGCGGGCGCCGGGAGGGGUGCAGCCCCUAAGGCAGCCAGCCGGGGAGGAACUCGACCCGUGGCGCGGGGGGCACCCUCAAAGCCGGGAGGCGGCCCGAGAGAAGCUCGCGAGCGGCCGUCACCUGGAGCGGGCAAGGCCGCAACAUCCGAAGGUACCUGCUGAAACGGAAAAACCAUCUCAUCAAAGUAAAUGUGUCGGGAGGUGAUCACCCGAUGUGAGAUAGGAUCAUAGCAGCGGUAGCCUUUGGUGUUGGGGGGAUAGCCAAGAAAAAUACAUGCCACGGACCGUGGUGCGAGCUUAUGAGUAGUGGAAGCGAUGCUAGGGUAGCACAGGCAACCGAAGAUGCGGAGCUCGGUGAAGGAAGGUGGCGUGCCGAACAAAAGAUGAUGAGGAGUAAAAUUCCCGCGAGUGCGACAGGGACGGAUGUUGAGGAGUAGUGAUGCGGUGGCGAGCGCGUCGGGCCAGAAACGUGGUGGCACGUUGGCGUGAAAGAGGAGGGUGCGAACGCAGUCAUUAAGAGUGCAAAGCACGCGCUCAGCGCGGCCAUUUUGUUGCGAAGUGUACGGGCAAGUGAGACGAAAAAUCGUGCCGUGUGUGGCGAGAAGAUUGCGGAUCGCAAGAUUAUUGAACUCCUUCCCGUUGUCUGUUUGCAACGCAUGAAUGGGGCGACCAAACUGCAUGGAGACAUAGGAGUAGAAUGCGGAGAGAGUGGCAACAGAAUCCGACUUUCGCCGCAACGGGAAGGUCCACAAAUAGUGCGAAAAAUCAUCAAGUAUAACAAGAUAAUAAAGAUAGCCCGUGUUACUUGCAACAGGAGAGGUCCAAACAUCACUAUAAAUUAACUCAAAUGGGUAUGAUGCAACAUGGGAGGAAGUGCUAAAGGGUAAACGAACAUGUUUACCGAGACGACAAGCAUGACAAGUGUGAUCGUCGAUCUUAUUACAUGUGAAAGAAAAACUACGAAGAAUAUGACGAAGGGUGGCGGUGUUGGGAUGACCGAGACGAGCAUGCCAAAGGUCCACUCCGGCGGAAAGCGCCAUGGGUGCAGCGACAGAGGAUGUGGAUGAGUGGACCGGGUAGAGCUCGUCGGGGUUGUCACAUCGGUGGAGCAUCAUCCGGGUACGGGCAUCCUUAACAGAAAAGCCAAACAUGUCAAAUUCAACGGUGACAGGAUUUUCACGUGUAAGAGAACGAACGGAAACUAGAUUUUUAAUGAUGUCAGGUGAAACGAGUACGUUAGAAAGAUAUAAUGGCAUGGAGUUAGACGGAAAAGCAGCAUGGCCGACAUUAGUGAUAGGCAUGGAGGAACCGUCGCCCACGGUAAUACGAGCAGCGGUGUGAACGGGGUGAGCGGUAAGAAGGUUACCGGGAUUGGCGGCCAUGUGAGCCGUGGCUCCGGUGUCCAUAUACCAGUCACCACCGCCAGUGUACUGAUGUGGCGUGGGGGCGGUGUGGAGGGCCGCUAGCAGCGCGGGGUCCCAAGGCGCCGGCAGGAGGGCCGGGGCCGACGGCAGCGGCUGUGGCGGCAGCGGCGCGAACCCACCGGCUGAAGGCAGCCCAUAGGCCGCCGAGGGGCCGUAGAGCGGCGCCGGCUGAUACGACUGAGGGGCCGCAUACAGAGCCUGAUGAGGGGCCGGGUGAGCGCCAAAAAAAACGGGGACGGGGGCACGCGGUAUAGGCAUGGAGUACGCGUGAACAACCCCCGUCCAGGGGUUCUGGCCGGCCUGCCAGGGCGCCGGCGGGAGCUGUUGCUGCGGCUGGCGCGGCGCCCCGCCGUGGGCAGAUAAUCGUUAACAGACGAGUCAAGCUGCUAGCACCCAAAAAACUCGCCGUGCAAGAAAACCUUGCGUUGGAGCGCGUUGUCGGUGAAGAGGCCGUUGAGCUUAGUCCAAACGGCGUGAGCGUCAUCAUCGGCGGAGACCACCAUGUGGAAGAGGUCCUUCGAGAUGGUGGUGUAGAAUCAGCGGAUGAGAGUGGUGUCGAUGGACGUCCACUCCUCAUCGUCCUCCAUGAAGCGGGAGUCCACGGAGCCAUCGAUGUGAUCCCGGAGAUUGUACUCACGGAACACAAGGGAGAAGUACGUCUUCCAGGCAUAGUAGGUGGAGGUGAGGUGGUCGAGGACGACGGGAACCCGAGCGAGGAUAUUGAGAUCGCGGAUGACGACGGGAUCGGGGCCUUCGAAGGGGUUGGUGCGGCGGCUGCGGGUGGUACCGAUGGAACCGGGGGAGGCCAUAGCCGAGAGGGGGGUGCGGCGGCGCGUGGUGAAGCGGCACAGCGAGGGGGAUGGCGGCGCGGCGGGUGGCGGCGCUGCGGGGUGCGGGCGGAAGCGCGAGGCGGCNNNNNNNNNNNNNNNNNNNNNNNNNNNNNNNNNNNNNNNNNNNNNNNNNNNNNNNNNNNNNNNNNNNNNNNNNNNNNNNNNNNNNNNNNNNNNNNNNNNNNNNNNNNNNNNNNNNNNNNNNNNNNNNNNNNNNNNNNNNNNNNNNNNNNNNNNNNNNNNNNNNNNNNNNNNNNNNNNNNNNNNNNNNNNNNNNNNNNNNNNNNNNNNNNNNNNNNNNNNNNNNNNNNNNNNNNNNNNNNNNNNNNNNNNNNNNNNNNNNNNNNNNNNNNNNNNNNNNNNNNNNNNNNNNNNNNNNNNNNNNNNNNNNNNNNNNNNNNNNNNNNNNNNNNNNNNNNNNNNNNNNNNNNNNNNNNNNNNNNNNNNNNNNNNNNNNNNNNNNNNNNNNNNNNNNNNNNNNNNNNNNNNNNNNNNNNNNNNNNNNNNNNNNNNNNNNNNNNNNNNNNNNNGCGGCGGCGGCGGUACGAAGUGGCGGCGGCGGCGGCGAUGGGAUCGCCACGGCGGCGGCGGCGGCAAGGGUUAGGGUUAGGAUCGUAGGUAUGAUACCAUGUUGGAAACGAAUAUUUUGGCAAUGCUACUCGAUGUAUUGAUCGGUGCAUAGUGCACGUAUAUAUGGAGUACAAGGUGGGCCAUAACCUCAAUUAUACAAUGACUAGGAGGUGGGCCGGGCUAUACAAUAUACAUGCACGAACCAUAUAUUCAACAAGGGCGACCCAGCUUCCCCGCUGCUAUUCAACUUUGUGGCCGAUGCCCUGGCUGCAAUGCUGGAUAGCGCUCGGAUGGCUGGUCAUCUAAGGGGGGUGGCCAACCAACUGGUGCCGGGCGGGGUUUCUCGUAUACAGUACGCAGACGACACGUUGCUGCUGUUUGAGCCGGACAGGCAUAACAUAGCUAUUGUCAAAGCUAUCCUGUUAAGCUUCGAGCUUAUGUCAGGCCUUAAAAUCAACUUUCACAAAAUGUGAAGUAAUCUCCAUGGGGAUGGGGACGGCUGAGGGUCAGGAAGUGGCAGAUUUGCUCAACUGCAAAUUGGGCUCUCUCCCAUUUCAGUACCUCGGGCUACCUAUAGGGGAUCGGUCUCCAACCAUUCAGGACUGGGCCCCCCAAUGCAAUACGGUAGCGGGUCAGGUUGGGCCGUGGCGGGGUAGAUUCAUGUCGUCAGGAGCACGGCUAAUCUUAACCAACUCCAGUCUAUCCUCGCUACCCAUGUUUACCAUGGGUCUGUUUUUGUUAGCCGAAGGCGUGCACUCCAAGCUCGAUAUGCCUCGGUCCCGCUUCUUUUGGGAAGGAGCCAGCCCUAAACGGAAGUACCACCUUGUCAAAUGGACAGUUGUGUGUCGUCCCAAGUCCCAGGGGGGAUUGGGAGUGAUGAACUCCAGGCUGAUGAACGUGGCGCUUAUGUGCAAAUGGAUCUGGAAGUUGUCCCAAGGCGAAUCAGGGCUCUUUGCAGACCUCCUCAAAGCCAAAUACUUCCUGACGGGCAAUUUCUUCGCGGCCAUAGGGAGGGGAUCUCCCUUCUGGAACUCCAUUCAGAAGCUUAAACCAAUCUUCGCCAUGGGAGCGAAGUUUUUGGUCAAGGACGGAUGCUCAACUCGUUUCUGGUUGGACUGAUGGAUCGGUGACCAACCUCUUUGGUCCAGGUUCAUAGACCUGUUUAACAUAGCGAUGGAGCCACGCAUCUUUGUGACUCAAGCUAUGGCUGCUUCCCCGCCGGUGUUGCUGUUCCGCCGCGAACUCACCGCCCCGGAGACGACAAGUUUGGGAAACUUGUUGACCCUUGUUGAGGGGGUGGUGUUAUCCCCUGGCCCGGACAUUGUUUCGUGGCACCUCAACGCCUCUGGCAAGUUCACUGUAAACUCCCUUUACCGCGCUCUCGCUAGGGGCCCCCACCAGCAGGUGGCUUCAGGGCUAUGGAAAGCUAGGAUGCCCCUUAGGCUUAAAGUUUUCCUCUGGCAGUUGUGUCAUGACAAACUUCCCACGUCCGUCAACAUAGCCAAACGCAACGGUCCGGCCAGUGGGCCGUGUGCGGUCUGUGGGGAGCCAGAAAGCGCUAACCAUGUCUUCUUCGAGUGCCACCUCGCCCGGUUCGCGUGGAGUGCGGUCCGCGAGGCCGCUGGCCGGGAUUGGGAUCCCAGCUCUAGUUCGGAGAUGUGUGCUCUAGUGUCGUCGGUCAGUGGCACCGCUCGGCGUGUCAUGUGGUGUUGCGUAGGGGCGUUACUCUGGGCACUUUGGCACAUUAGAAACAACAUAUCGAGGGUGUCUUCCCCUCUCAUCCUGCUGACGUAAUCUUCAAAUGUGUCAUUUUCUUGCAGCAGUGGGCGCAUUUGGGAAGGCGCCAAGACAUUGAUCUUCUGCAGCUCGCUCUUGCCCGUCUUCGCCAGGUCUACGCUUUGGCAAGAGCUCCUGCACCGCCCCCCUAGGGAAGUGUGGCUCCUUUUGGCAUCAUCUUCGCGAGCCUGCGUGCUCUGGUCCAGCCGGCUUAGGCUUGUAAUCCAAAACUUUCCCUCACCUUGCUCGCGUGUCAAUCGUUGAAGAACUACACAAGGCCCGAAAUCCAAACUGUCGUCCGCUAUGGCUAUCCGGUGAUGUCAGUCCGCCUACGUCGACAUCCAAACCUGCUAUGUCUAAUCGGUUUUGGAAGACCCAGAGAUCUCGCACGCCCAAAAGAAAUAUUGGUUUGGUCGCACCCACGAUAGAAUCAUCAUAAUCUAACGGCAUCUCCUACAAUUAUGUGGCACGUCUGACAACUCCCAUUGACCCGUCCCUGAGCCACGGCUCAGAUGGAAAAGCUGCUGGACACACUCACAUGCACUAUGGAACAGGCGUCCCGAGCUACAGAAAUGGCCCACUGUACUGCACUGUACCAUCCAGUAUAUUGCACAUAUCUAAUUUUCCAACGCACAAGUUCUGACAUGCCAGUGGGAUUUUCUAACAUCCCAAUGCACCAUUCAACGCCCAAGAUUUCAGGUCAGCUGGACCUGGGCACCGAAACGCCCUUUCGGUUUAGAUCACUAGUUGAUAAUUCUCAUCAGACAAACUAACUUGUUAACUCUCAGCUGGGAAUCACAGGGUUAGGUUCUGCAGCUGCGUAUCAAGCCAAAGGGAUAGCAGCCCACUGCCGUGCUAAAUGUUCAGUCGUGGUUGUAAACAGCUAAAGGUCAAUGGCUCAAGCCCAGAUUGGUUUGGCAGGAAAUCAGACCCUAUGGUGACUGAUAUCUACCCACUGCAAUGCUGAGUGUUCCGCCCCAGUUUAAAUUAGCCAGGUAUGUACGCCGUUGCUGGCUAGCUGGUGGCUGCCACUUCCCCUUCCUGCAUCAAUCAGGACAAGAUUGAUUCCACACGUUUCAAAAGGAUCAAAUAUAUUUCCAGACAUUUGAGUGGCGACAAACUAAUUGAUAAGAUGAUCAAUUUUGAUUUUUUCAAAGCAACGUUAAUCUAGUAUGGUCAUGGUUACCUAACAUCUUAACAUGUGCAGAGCUAGCCAAUGCAGAGCUGUAAUCGUACUACUUAGUCUAGGCAUGCUUGUGUUUGCGAAUGACCACUGGUUACUCAUCCAACAACCGGACCAAGAUCUCUAACCAGUGGAUGCUGUUGAAGGAGAUAAGGAUAUUUUGCUUCACUUGACUUGGCCGCACACAGAUGUAGCUCGAUUCGUUUCAGGCAUGACUAGUGUGUGAAUGGGUUGUUGUCGCCGCUCUUACUCGCUCACAGCAACGGUCGUUAGUAGAUGGAUGUACUGGGCCUGAUAUCUUACUUGACUUGUCUUCAUUUCCGUGGAUGCGCAGAGACAGCUGCGAUGCCACUGAAGCGUGACAGGGCGGGCUCUCUCUUGCGCGCUCGGCAAGUCAGUGGUUGGUUGGUCACUGUAGUAUAUGGGCAGCUACUCGACCUAGCUAGGUGGUGGUGGAGCAAUGAACCCUAAACCCUAAACCUUUGCCCGCCUUACCGCCUCCGGCUGCUCUCAGCGAGGAGCUCGGAGGAGACCUUGUUGUCUAGACCAUCUGCCAUGGAAGUGAUCUAGAAGGGAGUUUAGAAGAGAAUGCAAAAUAUGUGUGGGAACGAGCGAGCUCCCAAAAAAUGCUCGCUCCUCUCACGUGUGUGGCCGUCAGCGCACAACAACCUACGCGGCGGCGGCGGCGAGGGCUGGGGAUUUAUCGCGUGGGGAACAGCCGGAGAGGCCAAUCGUCUAUUUUUUUUCAAAGUAAUUAAUUUGAUAAAAAUAUAUCCUUUUUUUGGGAAUAGAUAAAAAAUGUAUCCUAACGCUGAGAUGAACCAAACUCAAAUUUAUCACAUUUCAAUUUUCGAAAAACAAUUUUAGAAUGAACCGGUUAUUGCUGCAUCCACACAUCGUGCGGCAACACAUAUCUCAGAGCAUAUGUGUCUUCCUCUUUGAAACAUUUUACGCACCAAGUCUUUGUGCUCCUCGUCGACAGCCAAGGUGCGAAAGGUCAUGACCGUGACUUCAACGACAGCUAAGAUGCGGACGAUGCCGCCCUUGACCAGCAGGUGGAGCGUAGGAAUGCGGCGCCAUUGACUUGUAGUCCGGUGGCGCAUACACAGGCUCCCGCUUCACAAAGAGAGUGGCGCGGCGAAUGGAAUCAUACCACCAAAGAGCGAGAUGGCCUGCAGGGCUGGAGGCGAGAAGAUACAUGCAUUUGUUUUCCUCCAAUAGUUUAGAUGACUUGAGAUGGAUACAAAACUGAAUUCAUAUCACACUCAUAUUGGCAUCCCAGGAGCGUGGAGUAUAUAUAGGACUCCUAUACAUCUCUUGUCUAUGAUACUAGCUCUUUUAGGAAGAAAAAAUAAAUUGCAAGCAUGGGAUAUGUGUUGAGCAAGUCAUUAAAAAUGUUUCAUUUUAUCAUGUGACUGGACCAUGGAAUCAUUGAUCAUCCCGCUUGCAUGUUUGUGUUAGCAUCCAAUGACAUGGUAAAAGAACAUACUAUACAUGGUACUCUCAUAUGUACCAUCACUCCAAGUGCGCCGCAUCAUGAAAGUCGAGUUAAUUGCAUACAAGUACCAUAAUUGGGGCAUCACAUGCAGAUUGGUACCACGAUUGCUAAUUUUUGCGUGUCAGUAUCAACAUUGCUCUAGAUUUUUGCAAAUAGGUCUAAACUGCGUAUAAACACGUAUUGACGGUGUAUCUGACUAGCGGGGCCCGCCCGUCAGGUGCCGACGUGGCAUGUUUUUUGCAGAAAACCCCCGCCCUCGCCCUCGCCCUCUCGCUCCGCGCCCGCCUCGCCGCCCUCGCCCUCGCCCUCUCCCCGUGGCGGCCUCCUACCUCAGCCGGCGCUUGUCCGACCUGUCCAGCCACCCCUGCUUCGCCCGGAACGCGCUCUGCCGCGAGCUGCUGCACUCCGUGGCCGCCACGCUCGCCGACGCGGCCGAGCUCGCCGCGCGGUGCCGCGGCCCGCCCAGGGACGGGAAGCUGCAGACGCAGAGCGCCAUCGACGCGCUCGGCGCCCGGCUCGACGUCAACCUCCGCGACUGCGCGCUGCUCGUCCGGACCGGCGUGCUCUCCGACUCCGACGCGUCCGCCGUCGCCGCCCCGGCGACGGCGCAGGCGGACGUGCGGGAGCUGCUCGCGCGGCUGCAGAUCGGGCACGCCGAGGCCAAGACCCAGGCAGUGGACGGGCUCCUCGACGCGCUCAACCGGGACGAGAAGAGCGUGGUGUCGGUGCUCGGCCGCGCCAACUUGUCCGCGCUGGUGCAGCUGCUCACGGCGCCGGCGCCCAAGGCGCGGGAGAAGGCCGCCAUGGUGAUAUGCCGGCUCGCGGAGUCGGGAGGUGGCGCCUGCGAGGGGCUGCUCGUGUCGGAGGGCGCGCUUCCGCCGCUCAUCCGGCUGGCCGAGUCCGGCAGCAGCCUCGUCGGCCGUGAGAAGGCCGUGCUCACGCUGCAGCGCCUCUCCGCGUCCCCCGACGUCGCACGCGCCAUCGCCGGCCACGGGGGACUCCGUGUCCCAGUCCGCGGCGGCCGGCGCGCUCAAGAACCUCUCCGCGGCGCCCGAGGCGCGGCAAGCGCUGGCCGACGAAGGCAUUGUCCGCGUCAUGGUCAACCUGCUGGACUACGGCACCGUGCUGGGCUCCAAGGAGCACGCCGCCGACUGCCUGCAGAACCUCACAUCGGGCGGCGACAGCUUCCGGCGCUCCGUCGCGCACGACGGCGGGCUGCGCAGCCUGCUCCUCUACCUGGACGUGCCGUCGCCGCAGGAGUCCGCGGUGCGCGCGCUCGGGAACAUGGUGGACGCCAUCUCGCCCGACACCAUCGUGUCCCUCGGCGUGCUCCCGCGGCUGGCGCACGCGCUCAGAGCCGGGUCACCCGGCGCGCAGCAGGCUGCAGCAACGGCCAUAUGCAGGAUGUCCGCCAGCGGCAGCAGGGACAUGAAGCGGCUGGUGGGCGAGCACGGCUGCAUCCCGCUGCUGGUGCGGAUGCUGGACGCCAAGUCGGCCGGCGCGCGCGGGGCGGCGGAGCAGGCGGUGGCGAGCCUGGCGGCGGGGCACCCGGGCAACGCGCGGGAGGUGCGGAGGGACGAGAGGAGCGUGCUGAGCCUGGUGCAGCUGCUGGAGCCGAGCCCGGCGAACACGGCGAAGAAGACGGUGAAGGCCAGCUGCGUGGACACGGGCACGAACGACAGCCCGUACGCGUACAGGAAGUCGUCGGCGCCGGUCGCCAGCCCGAGCCCCGCAGCGGCGAGCAGUAUCCUCGGCGGGGUCAGCACCACUGGCGCGCUGGGGUCGUGCGCGCGCCGGCUGAGGUAGGAGGCCGCCACGGGGAGAGGGCGAGGGCGAGGGCGGCGAGGCGGGCGCGGAGCGAGAGGGCGAGGGCGAGGGCGGGGGGUUUUCUGCAAAAAAACAUGCCACGUCGGCACCUGACGGGCGGGCCCCGCUAGUCAGAUACACCGUCAAUACGUGUUUAUACGCAGUUUAGACCUAUUUGCAAAAAUCUAGAGCAAUGUUGGUACUGACACGCAAAAAUUAGCAAUCGUGAUACCAAUCUGCAUGUGAUGCCCCAAUUGUGGUACUUCUGUGCAAUUAACUCCAUGAAAGUCACCUGAAACAUGAGAACUGGUUCAUUUUAGCUAUCUUUUCAGUUCUGUGUGAAGAAUAUCAUAUCAUCCGUGUGAUGGUAUUCUAUACCUAGUAAUGAAGCAAGGUGCGUUUCUUCAAUUUUUUCAUCCGUUCAUCUUCAAAAGUACUUUUUGUUUCUAUCCGAGGUGGUACUAAACUUUUAUGCAUCUAUCCGCUAGGAAAGAAAAAAGGUUUGUCCAGAAUUCCGUAAUUGGGCCGCGCACGCUCCGGCCCAAUGAAGCCAACGCACUUAUUAUUGCCCACGUAGUUGGGAAGACCUUAUUUGUUGUAUUGAGCGAUGAAUAGUUGAAGCUGCCCACAGGACGCCUAAAACUGGGUCGGCCCGUUAACUAUUAUAAAAAAUCAUGUUUUGAAAUUUUCUCAUUUUUUAAUUUUUUUUGUGUUUUUCAAAAUUUCUUAGAUAUUUUUUAAUAAAAACUACAUUUUAUAAAGUGUUCCAUAUAUAAAACUAUUCCUGUUUUACUGACAUGUUCACAAAAAAUAUAAAAUAAUAUUUUUGUCUAAGAAAACAUUUUCUAGAAUUGUUUUGAAUGUUCCCCUUUUAAAAAGAUAAAACAAUUCAAAAAUAUUUGUGUGUUUAUAAAAUUAUCAUGUUUUCAAAAUAUUGUUUAUGAAUUUCAGAAACUAUUAAUGUUUCUAAUUUUUGUGUUUUUCCAAAAAUAUUGGAUCUUUCAAAAAAAAUUGUCGCAUCUUUUGAAAAUUGUUUGGGAUUUAUUAAAUUGUUCACGUUUCCAAGAAUAUUCGCCAAUUCAUAUUUACGUUGAAUGUUCAAAAAAAACUAAGAAAUAUUUCUAAUAUUACGCUAUAGUAUUUUCUUUAAUAUUUGCGCUCGCCAUUGGUUGGCGGUGCAUGGUCGUUCUGUGCUGGUUGACUAUAAAUGAAAGAAAUUAUGGGCACAUGCCAAUAAAAGAGAAUAUGUUGUUUGGCUUUAAUUAGAGUAAAAUAAUGGGCACUUGAGCACUAAAAUAAUCAAAGAGAAUAAACCCUCAAACAGAAGGCCCCUGGGAUGCCCUUUGGCAGGUCUCAGCUCUAGGCCCCCAAGACCACGGCUCACACAAUGUUGGUACCACCACACAUGUUGAACCAAUAGAUGUUGGUAUUUUGAUCUUGCUCUGUUGACCAGGAGUACGAUGUAAUGUAUGUAGGUGUCUUCAGGAUCAGUGGCAAAAUAUGCCGAGAAGAACGUGUGCACGGUGAGUUAAAAGAUUCAGAUAUGGUCUUUUUUUUAAUCUCUGUAGUUCUCCUUGUGCUGUUUCUCAUAGAUUUUUCAGUUUUACCUUUGUUCCCAUAUGGCUGCAAGCACCCUUAAUCGCAAAAGCUAGCUACAUCGAUGCGCCGCCGCCGAGGACAACGCCCGGCCCGCAACCGAGGUCUUCCACAUAUAGGAUUUGUGGAACAGCAGGGGCAGCACUACGACAGCUACUGUCUUGCUGCAGUGAUGCGGGCUGGAGCGAGCUGGGUUGCACGCGGUGACGAGAGCAUUGUAUAUGUCCGUUCCUCCACCUUCAACAUGUCGAUUGCAGGUGAGGACUUCUUCUUUUUUCCUUCUCCCUUUUUUCAUGCAAGUGUAGAACUUAUUGUACGAUUUAGUUUUUGCCUACAUAUAGAUGAUUCAGAUGUUAACGUUGAAGAAAAGAUCGACAUUGGUAUCCCCAGAAUAUUGCAGGAGGGCGUGUGUGCUCAUCUAAAAAAUAUGAUUACCUAAAUAGCUAAUAGUUAAUUCUACCUUUGUGAAUUUGCAGAAUGUUGAAUGCUAUUGGGUGGCAUUUCUCAUCAUGACAUUUAAUUAGAGGAUAUUUGUUAUCAAGCGACGUCAAUGUCUCGGGUAUAGAUAGUUCUGUUUUGAGGAAGAUGAUGUGCAACCACUGAAGAAAAUAUAUUAGGAUGGAACUCCAAUGAUUUUGUGGAUCACUAUGUAUAGUUUUUUGUGGCCUAUAAAGCAGAGGUCCGGCGUGUCAAAACAGAAGUUUCCAUGACUUGCUACUUUAUAAAAUUUAGGCGCCCCUAUAGUGUUGUUGAUGAAUUGAAUUUUUUCACCCAAAAAGGUUGAAAUCAACUGCUUUGCAUACACAAUUAAAUAGUGAGUAUCACGUUUUAUUAGCAAAAUUUAAUAGUUCAUACACAAUUAGGAAGUAGAAUUGUAAAGAUAAGGUCAGAGGCAUACCAACACAAUGCUCUGUUUAGUGAAGCUACAAAACCCACCAUCAUAACUGAUAAUUCCGUGCUGUACUGCUUGGUGAAUAUUUAUUCUGUUUCAGUGCUGACUAAUUGGCCCUUUGCUGAUCGAUAUGGUUCCCUUUGAAUGGCAUGAAGGAGGAAUAAGGGUUGCUUCUCACUCCCUUUUGGUCUGUUCUAGCGUGGAUGGAGGGUGACCCAGGCCUGUCCGACCAAAGGUGGCCGGUGAGCCUCUUGGUCUGUGCAGGUAAAAUUUCUCACUCCCUUUUAUCUUUUCGCGACUUCUUCUUUUGGGGCCUGCUGAAUUAGUUUGCUUGGUGCAAUUGAGAAAAUAAGAUGACCUGAUGAGGUGAGAAAAAAACAUGCAAUGGGGGCAUGCCGAAUUGGUGGAGUUGAAGCAUGUGUCCUGCUUACACCAUCUUAGGAACAUGGCAGAGGAAGGUGUUGAUUAAUUGGUAGGCAAAUUAAGCGUUUCAUGGGAAUCCUCGGUUAAUCUAACAUGAAGGAUGGAGCGUUUCUAUGGUUGUGAAGUUUUCUCGUAGCAAGUUGAAUGAAGAGCAUUUACGUCUAACAUAAAGCUUCAUAUAAUGGAUCAUGUUUGCCCUGUCCAGUUACUUAACUUCUAAUAACAUUGGGCCUGUAAGGAAGUGCUUAUCUUAUAAGUAAAUAUACUCGUGCUUGAUUUGCAUUGUUGAUUGACAAUAUGGUCUGUACUGAACCAUUAAAAAUACCUGGCUUCCUGACCUCAGACCCAAAAUAUGCUCUCUGUUGCUAUUGUUUUUCCCAAUUAAUUGUACAAUUACUCCUUUUAUUUAGUGAUGUAUUCCUCAUAUGCUUAACUAUCUCUUUUUUUGACAUUGAAGAUCAUUUAGAGUAAUUCAUUUUCGUACAUCCUGAAAUUCAGCGAAUGGACAUCAAAUAUAUUACAUUAGAUGAUGGGGGGAAACUGUAGUUGCAGUGCUUCACUUCUGCAACAAUGGACUCCCCGAAGUGCCAACACCUUUACAUGGAUAUUCAGGAUAUUUUUGAAGGUUAGAAUAUGAAAGUAGAACAACAAGUUCCAUUACUUUGGGAAAAGUGCCCGGCCCUGAAUGAUGCCUUAAUGCGACCUUUAAGUUUCAGGUACAUCAUUCUAUUCUUCUCUAUUGCGCCAUGUGCUCCACACGUGUACCUUAUGAUUCAGGAGUUUCCGGUGACAAAAUGUGUUAUAUUUGUAGAGUCGAUGCUUUAGGAGAUGGAAGAGCAGCUGCCCACGCAAUGGUUUCCAGUUAUAAACCAAGCUGUUUAAAAAUGAUCAAGUAAAGAAAGAAAUAUUUCAUGAUUGUACCUAUUUCCUUUGUGGGAUUUAAAGGGUUACUAGCUAGCUACAAUUGGACACUUCAUUUGUUUGCUUUUGAACUAAGUUUGAUAAGGCCUAUGAAGUCCUGUAAAAAGGAUUCUUAUGAUAAGCGUGGAAAGCAACUUCUGAACUUUUAUGUAGAUAUUUAAGUGCCAAUGCCAUAUUUUGUUAUAACACAGGAAACCCAACUUUUGAGGCCACCGAUUUACCUUGGAUGUUGCAUGUGAAUUACUUUAGCUAAUUGUCUUGCCGUCGAGCUUUUAGUUGAAGUUCACUGAAUUUCUUGUAAUGACAUUUCAGCUAUUAUACGAUCGACCCAAUUGUUAGCUUUAUGAUGCUUUUUGGAGUCGACUCUGUUAAACAUAUAAGGUUCAGGUUCAGCGCAUAGUGCAACAUUGUAACGUGGUAGAUCUCUUGGAGAUAUUCUGGUAGUUUGUUGGCCUAGGUAACUAGCUUAACCGUGGCUAACUCUAUCUCUCUCUUUCUUCUUCUCCAAGAUGUACUCUAUCUCCUGUAUGCGCUACAGGGAUCUGCGCCCCUGCCUAUAAACAUGAACCACGUUCCCUCGUACAGAGGUAAGACGUUUAUCGCAUCUUCACAUGGUAACCAGAGCCUCCUUCUUCCACAACAUCUAGCAUCCAUCAAACCCUAGCUCCAACCAUGUCGUCUUCCGCUGUCGCUCUUGUACCCACCAUCCAUGGUCAGGUAACAGAGAAGCUCACCAGGACGAACUAUGUCCUCUGGCGUGCUCAGAUCAUGCCCCAGCUCAUCGGCGCUGGCCUGUUUGGCUACGUCGACGGAUCCAUCAAGGAACCAGAGAAGUUCCUCGUCACCAAGGAUAAAGAUGGCAAGGAGGAAGCCGUCCCGAACCCUCUACACCAAGUCUGGGUAAGGGAAGAUUAGCAGGUACUUGGUCAUCUAUUGAUCAAUCUCUCUCGAGAAGUUCUUAUCCAGGUGACUUCGAUCCGCAAGGCGCAUGAGCUCUGGACUGCUGUGGCGAGCAUGUUCUCGUCCCAGUCCCGAUCUCGCAUCAACAACAUCAGGAUCGCCCUCUCCAAUGCGCAGAAGGGCACGCAAACGGUGGGCGCCUACUUCGCCCACAUCCGCUCCCUCGCCGACGAACUGGCGGCCGCUGGCAAGCCGCUAGAUGACGAUGAAGUCAUCUCCUACAUCCUGGCAGGGCUGGACAUGGAGUACCAGCCGCUGGUGUCGGCACUCGACGCCCGAAAAGAACCGAUCACGAUCGAUGAUCUGUUCGCUCAAGUAAGCAACCUCGACCAGCGCAUUGCUAUGUUCCAUGGUGCUGGCAACAACGCCGGGUUCAAGAGCUCCGCCAACGCCGCCAUUCGUGGUGGUCGUGGUGGCUCACGCGGCUACCGUGGCCCUCCGCGCAACAAGGGAAAGAACAGCGGCGGCGGCAGCAGCAACUCCAACAACAGCGCCUCUCGUGGGCGGCCCUCCUACACCAACAACAAGGGCCGUCACAACAACUCCAGGAGCCGCCCCGACGCUGUCAAGUGUCAAAUCUGCGGCAAGAUCGGUCACUCAGCAAGGGAAUGCUGGUACCGGUUUGAGGAGGAUGAAGGAGAAUCCUCGCAAGAUGAGAAGGUCGCUGGUGCUGCAGAAGCCUCAUAUGGGGUUGAUACAAACUGGUAUGUUGAUAGUGGCGCUACAAAUCACAUCACCGGUGAACUUGAAAAGGUGACUAUGCGGGAGAAGUACCGCGGCCAAGACCAGAUACAUACAGCAAGCGGAUCAGGUAUGAGGAUUAAACAUGUUGGUCAUUCAGUUUUUCAAACCCCUCACCGAAAGAUUCAUCUAAGAAAAAUCCUUCAUGUCCCUAGUGCAUCUAAAAAUCUACUCUUCGUUCAUCGUAUUGCCAUUGACAAUCAUGUCUUUCUCGAGUUUCACCCUUUUUUCUUUUUGAUCAAGGAUCAAGCAACGAGGAAGGUGCUCUACCGAGGUAGAUGUGUUCGCGGGCUUUACCCAUUGAUUCCGGAGUUUAGAAGAAUAAAUAAGCAAGCUUAUGGUGUCACCAAAAUCUCCUCGACAAGGUGGCAUGAUAGACUAGGGCAUGCAUCUUUUUCUUUAGUUGAACGAUUGCUUAGGAAGAAUAAGCUCCCAUAUGUUGGAGAGCAUAAUGUUGAAACAAUUUGUGAUUCUUGUCAAAAGGCUAAAAGCCAUCAAUUACCUUAUCCAAUUUCUACGAGUAUUUCUACCAAACCGUUGCAACUUAUUUUUUCUGAUGUUUGGGGUCCUGCUCCAAGUUUUGUUGGUAGGCAUACUUACUAUGUUAGCUUCAUUGAUGACUAUAGCAAGUAUUCUUGGAUCUAUUUACUCAAAAAAAGAUCCGAGGUCUUUCAAGUGUUUCACAACUUCCAAGCUCUCGUUGAACGAAAGUUUAAUAGCAAAAUCAUUGCCAUUCAAUCCGAUUGGGGAGGGGAAUAUGAAAAAUUAAACUCGUCCUUCCAAACUCUUGGCAUCUCUCACCAAGUUUCUUGUCCUCAUGCUCAUCAGCAGAAUGGAUCUGCCGAAAGAAAACAUAGGCACAUUGUUGAGGUUGGUCUAGCUCUCUUGGCUGGCGCAUCCAUGCCCCUCAAAUUUUGGGAUGAGGCUUUUCUUACCGUUGUUCAUAUCAUCAACAUGCUUCCUAGUCUUGUCAUCAAUCAUGAAACACCGAUAGAAAGGCUUCUUCGCAUCAAACCCGAUUAUACAUCACUUCGUGUUUUUGGGUGCGCAUGUUGGCCAAACCUUCGACCCUACAACAAUCGCAAACUUAUGUUUCGCUCGGAACAGUGUGUCUUCUUGGGCUAUAGCCCUCAACAUAAAGGAGUUAAGUGCCUUGAUGUCUCCACUGGACGAGUCUAUAUCUCUAGAGAUGUCGUGUUUGACGAGACAAAAUUUCCCUUUGCUGAUCUACAUCCAAACACCGGUGCUCUUCUUCGCCAAGAAAUUCUCAUUUUGCCAUCACAUCUAGUAGGUGCCUCUGGGGAAGAUAACUGUAAUGAUCACAUGCCAACUAAUCCUCAUAACAGUUUGCUUGAGCUAUGUGAUGAUGCAGGACAAAACAGUGAAGCCAAUGGUGCUCACGGUGAUGAAAAUGGUGAAGAAACGGCUCCAAACGAGCCAUAUUUCAUGUGCAGGCCCUCGGGAGACAUAUCUCCUUCGGGAUCCGGGCCGCACCAGUCCUGCAGGCAAUCUCCUUCGGGAUUGACGCCCUCUGCACCUGCGCCUGACAACGACACGUCCGGCAGCGCCCGGGUCGCCCGCCCUGACUCGGCGGUGCGCCACGCCUCCGACCAAUCCGCGGGCGCUGAUGGCCCGCGCCAAUCUCCGGGCCCCACGCGGCAGCUGACGAGCCGCUUCCCCGAUCCGCCCACGUGCUACGCGCGGCGCCCGCGUCGGCCGUCCGGCUCGGGGCCCCAUGUGGUGGACCACCCGACAGGCGCUGGAUCUCGCAUGGAUCCUGAUGACGCUCCUGGUGGGAGCGAAUCUCCUGCUGCGGGCGGAUCCUCUGUGGCGGAUGGCGCCCCUUCAUCACCCGCUGAAGCCGCAGAAAAUCCUGCCUCUUCGUCAGAUCCCAGAAUAUCUGCCUCGGGAUCACCGGGGGAUACUGAUGUGGAUUUUUCUGCUGCAGACCCCGGAUCUUCUGUGCAGCAAACUGCUGCUGCUUCACCAUCCAUGCCACGCACACGUCUACAAAAAGGGGUAUUGCAACCUGUCAAUUAUAAAAAGGUACUUAAGUUUGGCUUAGCUUGCUCUACAGGUGAACCACAAACGCUUGAUGAGGCAUUAGGUGACACAAAGUGGAAGCAAGCUAUGGAAGAAGAGUACAGAGCACUCCAGAAAAACAAGACAUGGCAUCUAGUUCCUUCACGGCAAGGUCAAAAUCUCAUUGAUUGCAAGUGGGUAUUCAGAAUAAAAAGGAAGUCUGAUGGAACUAUUGAUCGAUAUAAGGCUAGACUUGUUGCCAAAGGAUUUAAGCAACGGUAUGGCAUAGACUAUGAGGACACCUUUAGUCCCGUUGUUAAAGCUGCCACCAUUCGUCUUGUUUUGUCUAUUGCUGUUUCCAGGGGAUGGAGUCUUAGACAGCUAGAUGUUCAGAACGCGUUCCUUCAUGGUGUUCUGGAAGAGGAAGUGUAUAUGAAGCAACCUCCUGGGUUUGAGAACAAAAACACACCUUUCCAUGUCUACAAGUUGGAUAAAGCUUUGUAUGGCCUUAAACAAACUCCUAGGGCAUGGUACUCCCAUCUCAGUCAAAAAUUACAAGCACUUGGUUUUGUUCCUUCCAAGUCUGACACAUCACUGUUCAUUUACAAUAAGUGCAACACAUCUAUCUUUGUGCUCAUUUAUGUUGACGAUAUUAUUGUUACAAGCUCAUCAAAUGAAGCAGUGACAGGACUGUUGAAAGAUCUUAGUGCUGAAUUUGCACUGAAGAAUCUAGGAGACUUGCAUUUUUUCCUAGGUAUUGAGGUAAGGAAACAAGGAAGUGAACUUCACCUAUCUCAGGAAAAAUAUGCUACUGAUCUUGUAAGAAGAGCUGGGCUACAGGGAUGCAAGCCAUCACCAACACCAAUGUCAAGUUCUGAAAAAAAUUCUCUUACAGAGGGAGAACUCCUGAAUCAGGAAGAUAGUACCAAGUACAGAAGCUUAGUUGGUGCACUCCAGUACUUGACUCUUACAAGACCAGAUAUUUCUUUUGCUGUGGACAAAGUUUGUCAGUUUCUUCAUGCUCCCACUACAGUUCAUUGGACUGCUGCAAAACGGAUAGUAAGAUAUGUCAAAGACACUGUUAAUGUUGGUCUUACGUUCUCCAAGUCUACUUCAACUCUUGUCAGUGCAUUCUCUGAUUCUGACUGGGCAGGAGAUAUUGAUGAUAGGCGCUCUACUGGUGGUUUUGCAGUAUUCUUUGGACCUAACCUUAUAUCUUGGUGUGCAAAGAAACAGGCUACAGUCUCAAGAUCAAGUACAGAAGCAGAAUACAAGGCUUUGGCUAAUGCAACAGCAGAAAUUACCUGGGUUCAGUCCAUGCUCAGAGAACUUGGAAUAAAACAUACUCAAGCUCCAUGUCUUUGGUGUGACAAUCUUGGUGCCACUUAUUUGUCUGCAAAUCAUGUGUUUCAUGCAAGAACAAAACAUAUUGAGAUUGACUUCCACUUUGUUCGAGAAAGGGUUGCUAGCAGGAAGCUUGAGAUCCGGUUUGUACAUUCCAGAGAUCAAGUUGCAGAUGGCUUCACCAAGGCAUUGCCUACAAGGAAUUUUGAAUUAUUCAAACGUAAUCUCAACUUAACAAAGUUGUGAUUAUGGGAGGGUGUUAAACAUAUAAGGUUCAGGUUCAGCGCAUAGUGCAACAUUGUAACGUGGUAGAUCUCUUGGAGAUAUUCUGGUAGUUUGUUGGCCUAGGUAACUAGCUUAACCGUGGCUAACUCUAUCUCUCUCUUUCUUCUUCUCCAAGAUGUACUCUAUCUCCUGUAUGCGCUACAGGGAUCUGCGCCCCUGCCUAUAAACAUGAACCACGUCCCCUCGUACAGAGGUAAGACGUUUAUCGCAUCUUCACAGACUCAUGAAGAUGAUGGCUAGCCUGCACGAACAUUUGUGGCUUCUGCAUAGAUGAUUCAGAUAGUCUACAAGAAAGGUAAAUAAUUAUAGGGGAUAGAUGUACGUUGCUCCCACAAUAUCCAGUUAUUGUCAGCAAACUUGCUUGUGGGCCAUGCCGACGAUGACAGGUGUAUGAAAAUGCAGCUCACCGACGGCGAUUGGAGCACCAACUUGGGUGACCCAGCUGUUUGACGCCGCCGGCUCGACCUACUUCGCUAGCAGCAUCGAGGAGGACGUGGAGCUCGUAGCCUCUUGAGCCCUCCGCGGGGCUCGUCUCGUCAGGCCGCCAUGGUUGCAGUAUAAAAAUCCUUACUGCCAUAUACAUGUCCCUUUUUUCCUCCCCGUCGCUUCCGCGGAUGAAAACCACAACAAACUCCUGCAAACACGCGAACAAUCGGCCAUGGCUUCCGCCCUCCGAGCCCCGCGAAGUCAUGUACAAUCUUACCGGCUGGCAUCAUCUACAAUCUUACCGGCUGGGAUCAUAUAGUUAUCAGAGUGUCACUUUUUGAUUUGGUACUGUCAUGUUUUUCAGCAGCCAUUAUAUAAUUAGCUGCUCAUCUUCCCACGUGCUGUUAUAGCCCUCCACAUAUCUGAAGGCAAAGAUGGUCCAUGAGUGUCCAUGUGAUGAAGAUCUUCAUGGCUAUUUCAAAAUAGACCUGAUGUUAGGUGAAAAUAUUCAUCGAUGGUUCAAUGAAGAUGCAUCAAAUUUCAAAAUAGAAUGCUAAUAAAUUACACCCUAGAGCAAUAUGAGAGUAUUUAAAUUUGGAUGGACCUAAACCUAUCCAGCACAGUACACAAGCUCUUUUAAAAUAUCGACAUUUAUCCGGUUUGCAUUUUUUUGUACUGGAGUUAAACCUAUCCAGCAUGUUCGUGAACCUAAAGUCGGCUUCAGUAUAUAUCAAUUGGAAGUCGGCUUAUGAGGCUUCAGUAUAUAUCAAUUGGAAGCCGGUUUCUGUGGCUCUGCCUGUAUGUUUACAUUUUGCAAACGCAGUUUAUGCCUGAUAUUUGUGUCUCUUUAUUUAUGCAGAACUAUUCUAGAGCUCAAGGCAUCAGGUACACUUUAGAUACAAACUCUCGCGCUCAACGGAGUUUCCAUGUAGUGUUAAAUUCCGGUGAACUAUAUCUCACCCCAUGCAUGCUGCCUACUCCUUUGUUGCAAACACAAAGCUGCAUGAGACCAGAUCGAUUAGGUAUACUUUGUUACUGACUGAUUGGUUCAUGGAUUAAGCAUGGACUGUAGGAAAUUAGGAGUUGUACAAGGAGGAAAGGAGAAGAGAAGAGAAGAGAAGAAAGAGGACUUAUUUCAUUGGAUUCGCGGCUGUUUGAUUCCUGUUUGCUGCAAGGAUAGAUCUCCGUUGACCACAUAUUCAGUAGUAGAUCAAAAGCUUAUUUUAAAUUCUAGGAAUAAUUGGGUUCAUAAUUUGGUUGUGGCACCCACAUGAAAGCUGUAGAGUCCAUCGAUAUCUUUCCAAGGAUACUAAGUUUCUGCAAUUCAGAAUAAUGAUUGUCAAGAUAUCACCAAAACAUAUUUCUAUGUUCGAGGAUUUUUAAUACUAGAAGAUUUUCUGUUUUACAAGAAUUACUCUACUUACAGGAAGAACCAGUUUUUGGCCGCCACAUGAACUUACAAAUGAUCUCCUUCUGAUAUUCAUACUAUUCUCAUUUGCUUGAUUUUGUGAAGUGCAUUAAGAUUUAUAGUAUAGACCAGAUAUGUUCAGAAUGGUUUCAAUGUUAAGUGAAAGAUAGGAACACAUGAUUUCAGUAUCUUGAUGAGGGCCAGAUUUAACUUGCUGAUGAAUAACAGAAGUUAUAUUGCUGGGACAUGUUUUUGGCCUCACAUUACUUAACUCUGCAGCUGGUUUGUAGAGCUGCAUCUUCUCUUAUUCUUUUUGGUUCUUCGGAUGAGCGACGCUGCCUGUGGGUCGUGGACAAAGCGGCUGCUACUUCCAGGUUUGAUUUUUUGCUGAUCAGUUCCUGGUGAUGGGAUUAUGGUUUUUUGUGUGACUUCUCCUGAAGAGAUUUUUGUUUUUGGUUUUGGUUUUGAUGGUGAAUUUAGGAUAACAGGGACAAUGAUGUUGCCAUACCGGCAGGUGCUGGACAUGAUUCUCAAAGAAGAUACGGAUGUGCAUGCUUCACAUCUUCUACACGCUUAUGCAAAGUGGGAUUUUAUUCAUAUUUUGAUGAGCUUAAUUUCUUAUGCUACUGAUUGCUUCUGCCUGAAGGAUACAUAUGGUAUGUUUUGUGAGCGGUGGGUAUGGAUGAGGUGAGAGCGUCUGUUAGUGAGUCAUUUUUGUUGGAUACUUUAAUCUGUUAGGGUUGAUAUAUAUUUUGAUUGGCGUGGUUGCCUCAAAGUAAUGCCCUGCUACUCCUUGGGGGACGUGAGCGAAGAUUUAUGCCUUAAGCAUAGGAAUGAGGGAGUAGGUUCCAAUAGAAUAGGCGAUGAUGCUAGGAGAGGCACAUCGAGGAACAAGUACAUGGUGCUACUCGAUGGUCAGCCACAUUCUGACUAUUAUUUUGGCAUGCCAAAGAGAUAGCACAUGAUGUUCUACUGCUGGGGAAUUGAAGUAUAGUGCUUAACAAUAUACUGGCAUGUAUUUUUUUUUAAGUAUAUAGUGGUUUCCUUUAGUUGAAAUACAGAAAAAAUUUCACCCCCAAUGAUUCAACAAGAGUUGUUCAUUAAAAGCGUGUGGUUUCUUUCUUCAUCAAGAAUUGAAAUAAUAUGUACUAUUAGAACUCCAUGGAGAGCAAUAAUAUAAUUGUCACAUGGGGUGAUCUUUAUUGGCUAAUUGUAUAGCUUAUGAUCUUAUGGAGUUUAGGUUUGUAAAUCCACGUAUUUUUUAGAUGAAGAAACAAAGAAGGAAAUGACUAUAUCAAGGAUCACAUAUGGUUAAAUGUAGAGACAACGAACACGGUGGCAUAUUACUUGCAACAUGGUGAAACUUUUAGGAUAGAAGGGUAAACGAAUUGCUCGGUCGCUUCAAGAGUUAAUAAUGGACAUGGUGGCACAUGUAUACUUCGCGGUAAUGCAUGAUAUUCGACUGUAUGUUACAACAUGGCAAUGACUCAGGAUAUAUCGGAUCUGCCUUGAUGGCGGUGGCGGAUCAGCACGAACACAAGGGGUGGGGAUCAGGGCGGAGAGUGGGUGAUUGGCGGGGGACUCCUCCUUGGUGGUCUGUGGGGAUAUACAAUGUGAAGGUGGGAGGGCGCCAUGGCGAGGUGAGGUGGGCGUCAUCUGGUUUUAAAGAAGAGGGCUCCAGCGAGAAAUGUCCGGCUACGGUGGGAAACCGAGCGGGAAGGGGUGGGUUCAACAGAAAAAGGGAAUGGUGCGUCGUGGGUUGAGUUUUUGUGUUAGGACCGUGUGUUGAAGAUAAAAUGACGGAUAGUCCGGAGAAGCAUAUUUCUCCUCCGCAUAUGGUAUGGAUUUGAAGAAGUUCAGAUUGUCCAGAUGGUUAAAUUUUGGGGUGCAUUCUGGGUGCCCGUUUGAUGUUCUAACACGCCCAAAUAUAUGAGGAAGAAAUGAACUCCGACCUUCGAUCUGUUUGAUUCAUUUAUAUAUAUGCCUUGUAGCCCGUAGCAAUGCACGUGUAUUGUACUAGUCUCGAUAGUGGUUGGGUUGGUCGGAUUGGUGGCGAGGACCCAACUAAAUCUUUUUUUCCUCCGCGUCUGCCUCUAUCUUUGGGUUGAGCCUGCCUCUUCAUUUGGUGGCUGCACGGCAAUCUUCGGGACACGGUUGCUUCGACCGCUCUAUCCUACGACGGCGUAACCAUGUGCUCCCCUCCUGUCAUGAGUCGAUGGGGGAGUCGACCGCGCCAAGACGGGCAGGGUUGUCGACGCAGGCGAGGGCGAGGGCGGGGUCGAGGGGCUCCAUGACCUCCUCAACGCGGCUGACGCCGGCGUCGAUGCGCGAGCAGCGCUUGAGCGUGAGGACGGCGCGGGAGGGGCGCGGCGUCGGUGCUGUAGAGGCGGACCCUCUGGGCAGCGGUGGUGGCGGCGAGGGGCCGCGCGGGGGCGUCGGUGCGGAGCAGGCGGGGCGCGAGGAAGGAGGAGAGGCGCCGGUGUGCGGCUGCGUCGGGGAGCCGGAGCUUGAUCUCGACCUCCAUGGGGUUGGGGUUGCGGCUAGGGCUGGGGGGCGGGGGCUGGAAGGGGCGGGCGGCGGCGUCUACUCUGGGAGUUUUAGGGAUCGAGAGGAGCGGAUGAAAAAACCUAUGAAAAAACCCAGUGCACUAGUAGGAAAUGGGGCUUUUACCCCGGUUUGUAAGGGCCUUUUGUCCCGGUUUUCGAACCGGGACUAAAGGGUCGUUACUAAAUCCCUAACCCUUUAGUCCCGGUUCUUACACGAACCGGGACAGAAGGUCCUCCACGUGGCCGCUACUGCCAGCCCAGGCAGGGGGGCCUUUGGUCCCAGUUGGUGCCAACAACCGGGACUAAUAGGCAGUGCCUUUUGUCCCGGUUGGUGUCACCAACCGGGACCAAUAGGCAUCCACGCGUCAGCAUUUCAGGGGCUGGGGUUUUUGUUUUUUUUGAAGGGGGGGGGUUUGGGGGUUAAUUUAGGUGUUUCAUAUAUUGUGUUAGCUAGCUAAUUAAUAGAGAGAAGUGUCCUCUCUUAUCUCCGUGCUUGGUCGACGCUACGUACUAUAUACGUAUGGAGAGGUCUAGACACGCUAGCUAGUAAGCAAAUGAAGGAAACAGAAGAUCGUCAUGAACAUAUGCAUGCAGAGAGAAGUGAUAUCGACCACCUCUCCUUCUCCGAGAGAUUGGUCGAACAACAAGUUCUCGUAUAUCUAUCUGACACUAUCAGCUACAUAUAUACAAUAAUUAUCUCUUACAAUAUAAUCUCCUAAUUAAAUUGUAAGAACACAGGGUCCACAUAGUAUUCUCCGUUUUCAGCGAUCACGUGGUCAAGGAAGAAUGCCGCCAAUUCCUCUUGAAUUGCUCGCAUACGAUCUUCUGCUAGGAGUUCAUCCCGCAUCCGAAACAUCUAAUUUGAAGAAGGGGGUCAAUACAUAUAUAUAUAUAUAUAUAUAUAUAUAUAUGAAUAAAUAAAACUCGACACAAAUGAUGGUAAUAAAAUAAAAUUGUGAAUAUUAUUGCUUACGCACUUCAUAUUGUUCGUCAGAGUAGCCCCGUUCACAGGUCCUGUGGCGGAUAGACUCGCAAACAUAGUAUCCACAGAAAUCAUUCCCUUGUUCCUGCCACAACCACUUUACAAGAAAUAGAGGUCAAUCUAACUGAUAAGCAAGCAUGCUAAAUGGUAUUGAUGAAACUAGCGCUUGAAUCACUAGGAGAUGUGCGGAACAUGCUACUAUAGUACUUACUUUCGGGUGUCUAAAUUGCAGCUUCUUCGGCAGUCCCGGAGCUUUUGUGGUGAAUUUUCUCCAAACCCUGCCAGACAAAGAAAACAAUUACUUGAUAUCAGGAAAUGAACAAAGUUGCUGAUAUGGUGGAUAAUGAUCGAUUUAACUUACUUCUCGAGCAUUUGAGUCAUGUCCGCAUAUUCCUGGGGAUCUUUUUGUCUCGAGUCUAAGACGGUUACUACUCCCUGCUCAAGCUUAAUCUCUAGGAGAAUAUAGUGGAAGCUGCGCAUGCAUGCAUAAGUCAUCAAUUACAUUACCAUAACCUGGACUAAUAAGGGAAACCGAAUAUGCACAAGACAGUAACACUCACUUGAAGUUAUAAGGAAAGAGUAUUAUAUCUUUGUUUUGAUUUAAUACCAACGAUCGUAGCAAGUUGGCCUCGGCUUCUUUGGCAUGUUUUUCAACCAUAUAUGCAUCUAUGAGAUUUGUGUUAAUGAACCCAAUAUCACCGAUUUGUCUUUUCUUCAAUUCGGCGAUCUUCAAUCUGCAUAAUAUAGUGAGGAUAAUUAUAAACACAUGCAAUGAAAGAGCUGACCUAUAUAGAGAGACUUAAUGACAGAAGUAGUACUACUUAUAGACAGUAGCAAGUGAUCGUUGAUUUAUCAAGGGCCUUUUGAUUGAAAAACUGGAAGAACUCCUCAAAUGGAACAUUCAGCAGUUCAAUUCCAACGAGGUCAUGCUCCGGUUUAACUCUCAGCGUCAAAGUAUUCAUCCCAUCAGACUCUCUGCAGGUUUUCAUGUACCAAUCAUGUAAUCUUCGCAUCAUCAUUGUUAGAGAUCUUUCAUCUUUGACGAGAGGCUUCCCGUAAUGGUAUUUGUGUUCGUCCACCUCCAUGAUUUCAUAAUGUACAUCGUCGGGCAGGUAAUCUCCAAGAUUGCUAUAACCGGGCACCAUCCUCGGAUCAUUAGCGACGAUGUCACUAGACUCCUUGAGCGGGGGGCACGAUUGGUUCGCUUGUUCGCCGAGCUGGGCAAUUUUUUUCCCAGCUCGUCGUUCUUUUAACCUUUUAUCACUGACAGUACUUUCCGACCGCUCCGCUUCGGCAUAUGUCUUUGCAAGAAUGCGCUCAUAGUUGCCUCUCGGCGGAGACUUUGGUGGUUUUGUCAGGGCAGCCAGAGUGCGCUUUGCUGUCACCGGAUCUACCUUCUCCUCCGGAGGUGGAUGUUUCUUUACUUUCACCCCUUCAAAGAAGUUCUUCACUUCGGCUUGCACGAUCUUCCUGGUUUCCUCCUCGGUCCUCUCGUAUGGUAACUUCUCUGGAGUCUUCAGAGAAGGACCGAAUCUGUAUUGCCUCCCGCGUCUGGCAGCUGUAUUGCUAGACGCCGGCAGAGCAGACGGAGCGGCUGCGGCUGUCUUCUUUCCUUGCUUACAAGGCAGAGGAGAAGGACUAUGACGCGCCAGAGCAGCCGGAGCGGCGGUGGGUCUCUUCCGCCCUUGCUGACGAGGCGGAGAAGGAGGAGGCUGGCUGCUCUGGCACGCCGGCGCAGGCGGAGAAGGAGGCAGAGUGUCGCCACGCGCCGGAGAAGGAGGCUGAUGAGUGCCCUGAUCACUCGCCGGAGGAGGAGGCGGAGGAGGAGGCGGAGUGCCGCCACGCGCCGGAGAAGGAGGCUGAGUGCCCUGAUCACUCACCGGAGGAGGAGGCGGCGGCAGAGUGCCCUUACUCGCCGGAGGCGUCCAGUUCGGAAGGUUAAUGAGCUCCUUCCGCCAUAGGCACGGAGUCUUCAGAGCUAAACCCAGCCGAGUCUCCCCUUCACCGGUAGGGUGGUCAAGCUAGAGGUCCUCAAAUCCCUCCGUUAUUUCAUCCACCAUCACCCUAGCAUAUCCUUCUGGAAUCAGCCGGCAGUGGUAGGUUGCGCCGGGUUCAGGAGGUAAAACAGAGCCAACAGCCACCUUGACUUUGAAGUUCUGCCAUUGCUCCAUAAGGUGGCAAUGUAGAGACUCCGUGAUAGCAUCCACGGGGUAGAUAGCAGGAGCUGUCAAGACAUGCUCCGGCUGAAGCAGCUCGGUGGAAGCCACGCUGCUUCUCCGCUGAGAUGGCGGGGUAGCUUCGGGGGUAGUUUCGGCAUGUCGAUUGUCGUCUCGUUCCUCUAGCGCUUGAACCCUUUCGUGCAGCUUCUGAAUUUGGGUCUGCUCCAUUUUUUUCCUCCUCUCCUGGCUUUUGUAACCGCCUGCGUCCGGAAAACCAGCCUUCCACGGAACGGAGCCUGGCGUGCCUCGUGUCCGUCCAGGGUGCUCAGGAUUCCCGAGGGCCAUUGUGAGCUCGUCGUUCUCUCUGUCUGGAACGAAUGUCCCUUCCUGCGCUGCAUCGAUAUAUUGCUGAAUCUUCUUGACUGGUAUUCUCAAAAGCUCGUUCGUCCAAACGCACCUCCCUGAUACAGGGUCCAAGGUUCCGCCAGCCUCGAAGAACCAAGUCCGGCAACGGUCUGUCCAGUUCAUUGUCUGUGGUUCGAUCCCUUUUUCAAGCAGAUCAUUCUCAACCUUGGCCCACUUAGGUCGGGCUUUGAAGUAGCCACCUGACCCCGUGCGAUGGUGAAGCUUCUUCUUCGCAGCAUUCUUCUUGUUUGUCGCUGACAUCUUCUUACUCUUUUCCGAUGUCUUGUGGGCCACAAAUGCGGGCCAGUGAUCUCUGAUCUUCUCAUACCGGCCGAUGAAUUCUGGUGUCUCUUCUUUGUCGACAAACAUUUUCAGCUCAUUCUUCCACUUCCUGAAUAGGUCUGCCAUCUUCUUAAGAGCAUGAGACUUGAUUAAUUGCUCUUUACUAGCUUCUCCGGAUCCUCCUCUGGCGGUAGGGUGAAAUUUGCCUUCAGCUCAGUCCAAAGAUCAUCUUUCUGCAUAUCAUUGACAUAAGACACCUCAGGGUCUUCCUUCUUAGGCUUAUACCAUUGCUGGAUGCUGAUCGGGAUCUUGUCCCUAACUAGAACCCCGCACUGAGCAGCAAAUGCAUCCUUUGUCCGGAUGGGUUCAAUCGGUUGGCCGUCGCGCGCGAUUGCUGUGAUCUCAAACCUUUCAUCCGAGCGCAACUUUCUCUUCGGGCCUCGUCUCUUUACCGCAAUUGUGCUCGAUCCGGAGCGCUAGAAAAAAGAAGAAAGACGAGUGUUAAUUAAUAUGUGUACAUACCAAAACAAUGAAUGCAUCAAUUAGCUAGUCAGCACAAGCUUAACUAAUAUAUUUACCUGGCCGGACUCUGUUCGGUCACUGGAGCCGUCACCACGGGCUCCUUCUUGCACCAGCAUUGGGUCACCGGAGCCAUCAUAAUCAUGUCUUUCCUCCUCCACUCUUCGAUCACCGUAGCCUGCUUCUUCACCCUGUUCUUUCAGACCAUCAUUGUCGUUAAGAUACGACAAGAUAUCACCUCCGGCUAAGAUUAUGUCCCCCAACACCUCUUCUGCUUGCUCGUCUCGUCCGUGCUCCAUUGUUUCUGCAAAUAUUACAACAUGGCAAUUAUUACACAAACAUGACAGCAGGUGGAUAUAUUAGUGCAAACGUAGACCUAGCUUAUUCCGGGUUUGGGGUGGCCUCGGCAACGCUUCAAGGGUAGGGGCGCGACGGGAGGGGGUAGGAGACCGACAUCGUUUUUUUCUAGGGUUUGGGUGUCCUUGAGAGUUUUGGUCGAGCAAGAGGGCCGGGGGGUGCUCCCGUGGUAUAUGUUAUCACGGUCGAGAGGGGGUAUAAAUAUCGACCGUCCAUCAUGUCGAAGUUAUCUGAGAGGGAGUUAUAUAUAUCGACAACGACGACAUACAUACAUGGGAAAAUAAUGUUAUCCGGGAGGGGGUAUAUCGACCCCUCCCCACGUGUUGAAGUUAUCAGGAGGGGGUUAUAUCGACAACGACGACAUACGUACAUGGGAAAAUAAUAUUAUCGGGGAGGGGGUAUAUCGACCCCCCCUCGUGUUGAAGUUAUCGGGAGAGGGGUAUAUCGACGACGACAGACCCGAUAAAACAUAAGAAAACGAAGAAGAAAUAAAAAGAGGAGAAGAAGAAAAGGAAUAGAGGAGAAGAUCGAAGAAAANNNNNNNNNNNNNNNNNNNNNNNNNNNNNNNNNNNNNNNNNNNNNNNNNNNNNNNNNNNNNNNNNNNNNNNNNNNNNNNNNNNNNNNNNNNNNNNNNNNNNNNNNNNNNNNNNNNNNNNNNNNNNNNNNNNNNNNNNNNNNNNNNNNNNNNNNNNNNNNNNNNNNNNNNNNNNNNNNNNNNNNNNNNNNNNNNNNNNNNNNNNNNNNNNNNNNNNNNNNNNNNNNNNNNNNNNNNNNNNNNNNNNNNNNNNNNNNNNNNNNNNNNNNNNNNNNNNNNNNNNNNNNNNNNNNNNNNNNNNNNNNNNNNNNNNNNNNNNNNNNNNNNNNNNNNNNNNNNNNNNNNNNNNNNNNNNNNNNNNNNNNNNNNNNNNNNNNNNNNNNNNNNNNNNNNNNNNNNNNNNNNNNNNNNNNNNNNNNNNNNNNNNNNNNNNNNNNNNNNNNNNNNNNNNNNNNNNNNNNNNNNNNNNNNNNNNNNNNNNNNNNNNNNNNNNNNNGCGUCGUCGGGGCAAACUGCAGAUGAACUCUGAAAAAUUUCCUAAGUGUUUGCUUAUAUAGCAAAGCCUUUAGUCCCGGUUCGUGGCACCAACCGGGCCUAAAGGUAGGCAUUAGUCCCGGUUGGUGCCACCAACCGGGACCAAAGCCCUCUUUUCAGCAGCCCAAAGGGCGGGAAGCGGCGGCCUUUGGUCCCGGUUGGUGGAACCAACCGGGACUAAAGGGGGGGCAUUGGUCCCGGUUGGUGCCACGAACCGGUACGAAUGCACCCCUUUAGUCCCGGUUGGUGGCACCAACCGGGACCAAGGCCUCUUGCUGCCCGCGUCGCGGCCAAAAGUUUAGUCCCACCUUGCUAGCCGAGGGGCGCCCGCACCAGUUUAAAAGCCGCGGCGCGGCUGCUGUCUCGAACUCCUCUCUAUAGCAGGAUUCUGGGCCUAACUUUGGCGCGCUGCCCGUUGAGCCUUCUAGCCCUUCUGGUCCUGUAUUUGCAAACCUGAGGGUUGGAAGGCCCAGCGGGCAGCGCCCCAACAAUUUUUUUUGCUGUAUUUAGUUUUUCUGUUUUCUUUUUUUUCUUUAUUUAUUUUGUUUUGUUUCUACUUACGACAAAAAACUUAUUUAUUUUAUUUUGUUUCUAAUUACUUAUUUNNNNNNNNNNNNNNNNNNNNNNNNNNNNNNNNNNNNNNNNNNNNNNNNNNNNNNNNNNNNNNNNNNNNNNNNNNNNNNNNNNNNNNNNNNNNNNNNNNNNNNNNNNNNNNNNNNNNNNNNNNNNNNNNNNNNNNNNNNNNNNNNNNNNNNNNNNNNNNNNNNNNNNNNNNNNNNNNNNNNNNNNNUUGUUUUCUUUUUGCUUUAUUUAUUUUGUUUUGUUUCUACUUACAACAAAAAACUUAUUUAUUUUAUUUUGUUUCUAAUUACUUAUUUAUUUUACUUUAUGAUAAUUCUUUUUGCUAUUAAAGUUUCUAUCAAAAAAGUUCUUUAUGAAAAUUCUUUUUGCUUUUAAUGAUUUUGAACAGAAAAUACUUCGAUAAUUUUAGUUGCAUCAAUUUUAUAUGAUUUUAGUUUCAAUAAUACUAGAGGUUUCUUAUANNNNNNNNNNNNNNNNNNNNNNNNNNNNNNNNNNNNNNNNNNNNNNNNNNNNNNNNNNNNNNNNNNNNNNNNNNNNNNNNNNNNNNNNNNNNNNNNNNNNNNNNNNNNNNNNNNNNNNNNNNNNNNNNNNNNNNNNNNNNNNNNNNNNNNNNNNNNNNNNNNNNNNNNNNNNNNNNNNNNNNNNNNNNNNNNNNNNNNNNNNNNNNNNNNNNNNNNNNGUUUCUAAUUACUUAUUUAUUUUACUUUAUGAUAAUUCUUUUUGCUAUUAAAGUUUCUAUCAAAAAAAGUUCUUUAUGAUAAUUCUUUUUUCUAUUAAAGUUUAUUUUAUUUUGUCGUAACACAAGAAGUCCGGAGUUGUAAUAAGUUAUUAAAAAUGGAAAAGAGGCGCAAUGCUCGUUGAUUAGCUUCAAGCCUUUCGGAAUAGUGUAGACUGCACUGCACAUAGCUCCAUGUAGUCUACCUUAUUCCUCAAGGCUUGAAGCUAAGCUACGUGAAGGUGAGCAUUGCGCCUCUUCUUCAUCGUCUCUGCACUCAGGGCUUAUAAACCGCUCCUAGUGCCUCUCAGCUAGCGAGGUGGGACUAAAAAACUGCUUAGUAAGAAACUCUAGUACCGGUUCGUGCCACGAACCGGUACUAAAGGUGCUCGUGGGGCCACAGCCUCAUUACUACCGGUUCGUGGCAGCAACCAGGACCAAAGGGUGGAAUCGGUCCCGGUUCGUGCCACCAACCGGGACCAAUGGCCUUGCACAGCGGCGUGGUGGUGGGAGUUUAGUCCCACCUCGCUAGCUGAGAGAGAGCCGCACCUUUUUAUAAGGUGCGGUGCGCCUGAGCUGUCGAGCUCCUCUCUAAAGCAGGCUUACGGGCCUAACCUCUCUGUACAUGCCUGUGGGCCUACUGGGCCUUCUGCGGGCCUGAAUCCUGGCCCAUGGAUGGGUUUCUAAUCGUAUUCAGGCCAUGGUGGCCCAGUAGGUGGCAUAAUUUUUAAUUUUUGGCCUGUUAUUUUUCAUGCAUUUAGUAAUUAUUUUGAGCUAUAAGACCCUAAAAUUGAAAAGCAUUUCAAAUGAACUCUAAAAAGGUUGAAAUUUGGCAUGGUAUCAUCAUUUCAUCCACAUAGCAUGUGCAAGAAAAUUGAGAGGGUUACGGCAAAAACUAGAUGCACUUCGUGUACAAAACGGACAAUGGUAUCAUACUCGUCUGUUACAAAGUUGGCAUGGUAUCAUCAUAAUAGUUGCGGGAGAAAGUCUUCACUUUUUCUUCGCUUGUGUCAUUUGCAUCAUUGGGCACAUCGUCUGGUUCCUCUUGAUCUUCAGCAGCUUCCCCCGUUGCAGCAUCACCGUAUUCAGGGGGCACAUAGUUGCCAUCGUCCUCUUCUUCUUCGCCGUCUUCCAUCAUAACCCCUAUUUCUCCGUGCCUCGUCCAAACAUUAUAGUGUGGCAUGAAACCCUUGUAAAGCAGGUGGGUGUGAAGGAUUUUCCGGUCAGAAUAAGACUUCGUAUUCCCACAUAUAGGGCAUGGACAACACAUAAAACCAUUCUGCUUGUUUGCCUCAGCCACUUCGAGAAAAUCAUGCACGACCUUAAUGUACUCGGAGGUGUGUCUGUCACCGUACAUCCAUUGCCGGUUCAUCUGCGUGCAUUAUAUAUAAUUAAGUGUGUCAAAAACCAUUACAGAACAUCAUGAAUAGAUAAUUAAGUGACCAAAUUAAUAGAAGUUCAUCAUCACAUUAAAACCAAAGUACAUACAUAGUUCUCAUCUAACAACAUAUAUAUAGCUCUCCAGAGCAUCUAAUUAAUUAAACCAUACAUUGAAACUAUGUAAAACAUUUCAAUGCGAAAACAAAUGCGAUCAUAAUCGCAACCAAGGUAACAAUUGAUCCAACGGCAUAAUGAUACCAAGCCUCGGUAUGAAUGGCAUAUUUUCUAAUCUUUCUAAUCUUCAAGCGCAUUGCAUCCAUCUUGAUCUUGUGAUCAUCGACGACAUCCGCAACAUGCAACUCCAAUAUCAUCUUCUCCUCCUCAAUUUUUUUUAUUUUUUCCUUCAAGUAAUUGUUUUCUUCUUCAACUAAAUUUAACCUCUCGAUAAUAGGGUCGGUUAGAAUUUCCGGUUCAACCACCUCCUAGAUAAAUAAAAUCUAUGUCACGUUGGUCGGCAUAUUUGUCAUAAACAAUAAAUGAACCAAAUAGUUAUAAAAAGAUAAUAUAUACCACAUCCGACUCAUAGACAGGACGAGGGCCGACGGGGGCGGAUACCAAAACCAUCGCACUAUGUAAUAAGAAGGAAUAAUAAAAGUAAAAAAAUUAGACAAGUAUCUAUCUAAAGUAAGAAUUUUUUUCCUUUCAGAAAGAAGAUAAGAACAAGAGGCUCACCACGGUGGUGCUGGCGACGAGAUCGGCGCGGGCGAUCAACGGCGGUGAAGACGGGGACGGGACGUGACGGACGGCUAAACCUAGACAAAUCUCGGGGAAAAUGGAGCUCGGAGGUCGAGUUUCGAGAGGAGAAAGAUUAACUAGUGUGGCUCAAACAUUUCAUCGAACACCUCAUGUGCAUAGGAGGUGAGCUAGAGCACCCAAAUGCCCUCCCCUCGCCGGCCAGAAAAAAUAGAGCACUGUGGAGUGCUCUGCUGUGGCAACGAGGUAUAUAUAGGGAACUCAUUGGCCCCGGUUCGUGGCACCAACCGGGACUAAAGGCCUUUGGUCCCGGUUUGUGGCACCAAUCGGGACCAAUGCCCCCCUUUAGUCCCGGUUGGUGGCACCAACCGGGACCAAAGGCCUUGUGCUGCCCCGCGUCAAAAGUUUAGUCCCACCUCGCUAGUUGAGAGGGCUCGAGAGUGGUUUAUAAGCGCUGCUGCGCCCACCCUCUCGAGCUCCUUCAACUGCAAGCUUUCGGGCCUAACCGUUCUCUUUGCCUGUGGGGCCUACUGGGCCUUCUGCGGGCCUGAAUCCUGGCCCAUGGAUGGAUUUCAAGUCGUAUUCAGGCCGUGGUGGCCAAGUAGGUGGCAUAAUUUUUUUCUCGGUUUUUUGUUUUCUCUUUUGCUUUAUUUGUUUUGUUUUAUUUCUACUUACAACAAAAAACUUAUUUAUUUUAUUUCCAAUUACUUAUGUAUUUUACUUUAAUUAUUUUAUUUUUAUUUAUUUUACUGCUGCUAUUUUUAUCUAUUUUACUGCUGCUAUUUUUAUUUAAUUUAUUAAGGUUUAUUUAUUUUAGUUAUUAUAGUUUAUUUUAUUUUAUUUUAUUAAGGUUUAUUUAUUUUUAUUUAUUUUAUUAAGGUUUAUUUAUUUUAUUUACUAUAAAAAAUGAACAUAGAUGCGCCUUUAGAGAAAAUUCAACCUAAAUUCAUAAUAAAUUUCUAUGAAAUUCAAAGAAAUUUACUGUGAAUUUAGGUCAAAUUCCCUGUAUAAGGGCAUCUAUUUUCACUUUGAGAGGAGCUCAACAAGGCAGAGAGGGACGGGCUUAUAAACUGGUGUGAGCGCCCUUCGGUUGGCGAGGUGGGACUAAACACUGGCCGCAACUAGGACCAGCCCUUUAGUCCCGGUUUGUGGUAUGAACCGGGACUAAAGGGUGGUGGGCCAGGAGCGUGGCCCAUUGGUCCCGAUUUGUCCCACCAACCGGGACCAAAGGGGCCGGACAAACCGGGACCAAUGCCCCCACGAGGCCCGGCAGGCCCCUGGCCGCACGAACCGGGACCAAUGCUCGCAUUAGUCCCAGUUCGUGACUGAACCGGGACUAAUGUGGAUAUUGCCCUGUGACCAAAGCCCAGUUUUCUACUAGUGGUGGAAGGUGGGACGAAAAACAAACCAUGAUAGGUGGGACGAAAAUAAACCUGGAACGGAGACUACCAAGUACCAACUGAGGCAUUAGGAGUAGAGAUUUCCCGUGUCAUACAUGUCCAGCGAGAAGACCACAACUCCUUCUAUGUCGCGUACUAUUGUGGAGACCCUCUUUUUGGAUUUUUUUUUCAUCCGUUCACCUUCGAAAGAAUUUUUUUUCUUUCUAUUCGAGGUGGUACUAAAAUUUUAUGCGUGUAUCCGCUAGAAAAGAAAAAAGAUUUGUCCAGAGGCCGCGCACGCUCCGGCCCAAUGAAGCCAGCACACUUAUUAUUGCCCACGUAGUUGGGAAGAACUUAUUUGUUGUAUUGAGCGAUAAAUAAUUGAAGCUGCCCAUAGGACGCCUAAAACAGGGUCGGCCCAUUUCCCCUUUUUAGAUGUUCUAUUUCUAUUUUUUUCUGUUCCUUUCUCUUUCUCUUUUAUAUUUCCUCUUCCUUUUUUCCAUCUUUAUUUUUUAGUUUUUCUGUCAAAUAAAAAUUUACAAAAAUAUUCAGAAUUUGCAAAUUUUGUUCAAAUAUUGAAAAUUAGUCAGAGUUCAAAUUUUUUGUUCCUGAUUUGAAAAAUGUCCGAAACUUUUAUAAAAAUUCAUGUUUUGAAAUUUUCUCAUUUUUAAUUUUUUGUGUUUUUAAAAAAUUCUUAGAUAUUUUUUAAUAAAAACUACAUUUUAUAAAGUGUUCCAUAUAUAAAACUAUCCCUGUUUUAGUGACAUGUUCACAAAUCCAAAACAAUAGUUUUGUCUGAGAAAACAUUUUCUAAAAUGGUUUUGAAUGUUCCCCUUUUAAAAAGAUCAGAAAUUCAAAAAUAUUUGUGUGUUUUAUAAAAUUAUCAUGUUUUCAAAAAUAUUGUUUGUGAAUUUCAAAAACUAUUAAUGUUUCUAAAUUUUUUUGUUUUUCCAAAAAUAUUGGACUUUAAAAAAAAUGUCGCAUCUUUUGAAAAUUGUUUGGGAUUUAAAAAAUUGUUCACGUUUCCAAGAAUUUCGCCAAUUCAUAUUUAUGUUGAAUGUUCAAAAAAAAACCAAAAGAUAUUUCUAAUAUUACGCUAUAGUACUCCCCCCGUCCGGAAUUACGUGUCGCGAAAAUGGAUGAAAAUGGAUGUAUCUCGAACUAAAAUACGUCUAGAUACAUCCAUUUCCCCGACAAGUAUUUCUGGACGGAGGGAGUAUAUUAUUAAAUAUUCGCUGGCCAUUGGUUGGCGAUGCAUGGUCGUUCUAUGCUGGUUUACUAUAAAUGAAAGAAAUUGUAGGCACAUGCCAAUAAAAGAGAAUAUGUUGUUUGGCUUUAAUUGGAGCAAAAUGAUGGGCACUUGAGCACUAAAAUAAUCAAAGAGAAUAGACCCUAAAAAAGAAGAGACAUUCAUGCCUGAUCAUGCUAAUGAAAUGGGAUUGAUGCGUUGCAAUUAAUGAUCCACCUGGUUACGUGGUCAUAGGAUAGAGUGGUCAAAGCAACCGUGUCCCGAAGGUUGCCGUGCAGCCACCAAAUGAGGAGGCAGGCACAAUCCAAAGAUAGAGGCAGAUCCGGAGGAAAAAAGGCAUGAGUUGGGUGCUCGCCACCAAUCCGACCAACCCCACCAAUAUCGAGAUUUCCCGUGUCAUACAUGUCCAGCGAGAAGACCACAACUCCUUCUAUGCCGCGUACUAUUGUGGAGACCAUUUUUUUUGGACGACACAUCAAUUAUCUUUCCCGUUGCUUCUUACAAAAAAAAUGUCUUUCCUGUUGCAACGCACGGACAUAUAUGCUAGUAACUAUUAAGCAAUGUAUUUCGGAGCUGAUUAAUAUUUCUUUAUUAUGCAAGUACACUGCAUAAUAUAAGGCCUAAUAAAUUUAUACAUGUGAGAAAAAAAAUCUUGGGUCUUGGCAUUACUUGAUUCUUCACCACCUCUCAGUUUCAUCUAGAAAAGGAUGCCGAGAUUGACCCGGUUAAGUGGAUCAAGAUGGUUGAGAAAGAGAUCUCAUUAGAAUGUAAAAAGAAGAAUCAAAGGAAAGGUCCACGCUUAAACAAACUGGUUACAUGCAUAAAUAGAAAGGUCUGAAUAUGGACAUGUCAAUUCUUACACGGCAGGCAGAUAAAAUCAAGAUCACUAUUGCAACAACAAGAUUACACAGUUACACAAGUUGACAUAUAAUUAUAAGUUAAAUCCAAGUCGUGGCCACCACAUGUCAUAUGCGGUGAGCAAUCUAAAAAAUGUAUAUUGUAACUUAACUUAUGUUCGACGAGGGCGAAAAAUGCAUAUUGUAGCUGAAUCUAAUCAGAUCACGGAGGUGGAACCACACGUCGAGAGGUGAUAACCUUAACUUGUCUUCUCCAGUGAAGCUCACUGCUGCUCCUUUGGGUGGGUGUGUACGACAGGGAUCAGGACCAGACGCCCUCCACCGCAGGCCCCGACAAUUCUCGAUCGAGAGCGACUGUACUACAGUUGUAGAAGCAAUCAAUCACUCCCGUAGCACUCUAGCAGAGUAGAGCGGACAUCAGGGGAGGGAGGCCUAUUUAUUAUCCAAGAAACUCACAAGCAUAUCCUUUCCCAGGGCUGAAAACUACAGAGUGCAGACAGGUUUUCAACAACACUCUUGAGGAAGGAUGAUUUGACAUGCCAGCAACAUCUCCACGGUAACCAGCGCUGAUGCAAGCUUUCCAUCAGUAUGGUAUUGAAACAGAUACCUGGCAGAUGCUGAGGGAGAUGACUUAAUUCACAAUACAUAUGUCUGAAUCUGAACAAGAUAGAAAUCAAAGUUCAGCUAAGCCGAUCGACCUGGUAGUACAUUAUUUGAAGCAAACAGAAUCCAUGCCGUUUCUAUGUGGUUUCCGCCCUGCUUACUCCUGCAUGGCUUGCUGGCGCUCCCUGGCUUGUCGAGUGGCCUUCCUCCGCUCACGGACUAGCCUUGGCAUCUCCUUCCAUGUAUUCGGUUUAAGUGCCAUCACUGCACAUAUCGCAAAUGGCGUCAGAACAAACACGUACAAAUUAAUGUAACAUAAAAAUUUAUACCGGACGGAAGUAAAAUAAUGGAGAACAAACUUGGACAAACAUGCUGGCGUGGUAGAUUUAAUGGAAUGGAUGACUGCAUCUGUUUGUUAAAUGUGGCAAAGAUAGAAGGACGUGCUGCAAGCAUACCUUCAUAACGGGCAUCUAGUCCUUUGAUGUUAAUGCUGCCCAGUUGCUGCUGCAGGCAUCUAGGGAGCUUCUUUAUAGCAGGGCAGCCUGUAAUUCCAACAAAGUAGAGAGACCUGUAUACUUGCGGCUCAUUCGGCAGGGAUGCCAGGGUACUGCAUCUUUCAAGAUAAAGGUAUUCCAGCGAUGGGGGGUGCUCUCCCGACAGACACUCCAGCGAUGUCAGCCCACUGUUGCCAAUAAUGCGCAGUCUCUUGAGGGGCGCAGGCAGACGAAGAGUCCCACCCAACAUGGCAGCACAGUCCAGUAUUGCUAGAUAUUCGAGAUGGGGAGGAAGUAAAUGCUCUCUUGCAGUUGGUGCUGUUGCUGCUGGUGGCUCUGGCAUGAUAGGACUUCUGCUUAUGGAGGUAGUGGCUUCUGGAUUCUGGAGCCCACCCAGCUGACAUGAUAGGACUUGAAUGCUAUUGCAGCCAGAAAUAUAUAUGGUCUUUAAGGAUGGAGGCAGACUUAGAACCGCUUGUAAGCUUCCACAUUCGACUAAACUUAGAUCUUCUAGGCAUGGACAAAAGUGAUUCAUGGGUGAGGAUGGCAACUCUGAUACAGCUGCAGGCAUGACUGCCUCACUGCUAGAAGAUCCUUGGACUAACUCCGGCAUGCCCUGCUGCUUGCCGAAUAUGGACUCAAGCUUAUGGCACCGACGAAUAUUCAUUUCCUUGAGAGAUGCCGAAACGUUGAACAUCUCUACCAAAUUUACACAAUCAUAUAAAUAAAGGGACUCCAGACCUGGCAGGUGUUGACUCCUUUCGGACGCCAAUGGCUCAAGAGGAGCCUGUGCAUAUCCAGUCAGGUUUUCGCAGUUUCUAAUCACUAAUAUCCUCAAGGAUACCAAGCUUUGGAACACAUUCUCUGGCCAGUGGAUGAGCACAUCGCAUCUGUUAAUUACCAGCUCUCCAAGAUGUACAAAAUAGUCCCACGGCUCUAGUGCACCUGGUCCAAAGAAUGAGUUGCAGCGUCCUAACUCCAUAACUGUAAGUGGGGAUUUCUGGUUCCAUUUCUCUUUGCUGUCGACCAGUACAAUUGAAGUGCAUUCAGACUCUGAUGUUGUUUCUGUGUGUUCUAGCUUCAGUGUCAGCUUGGUCAAUGAAGACAAAUACCUGUCUACACAGUGGAAGAUCUCUUGCUUCCCAUCUUCAAUUUCGAAUAAACUGAGUUUUGGUGCUUUGGGCAAUGCUACCAGUUUUGGGCAUUUCUGGACUGACAGUUUCUCAAGCUCAGGAAACAAUGUCCCUUCAACUGCAUCCCAUCUCUGAAAGCUCUCCAAGUCUUCCAUUUUGAGCACCUUGAGGGCAGGAAAGGCUGAACGUACCAAUCUAUAACCACCUCCACUACAUGGUUCUUCAAGCAAUGGUGCUUCAGGUAAAUUUAUCAGCUUUGGGCAUUUCUCAAUUGACAGUUCCUCUAGACAAGGAAACAAUAUAUGUUCUCCUUGAGUCUCUUCGACUGCAUCCCAUCUCUGAAAGCUCUCCAACUCUUUCAUUUUGAGUACCUUUAGGGCAGGAAACGCUGAGCGUACCAAUGUAUAACCACCUUCACCACAAGGUCCUUGCAGCAAUGGUGCUUCAGGUAAUGCUACCAACUUUCCACAAUUACUAAUAAACAACUUCUCAAGCACAGGAAAUAUUGUUUGUUCUUCUUGCCUCUCAUCUAUUUCCGGCCAUCUUUCAAAACCCAACAGAUGUUCUAGCAUAAGCACCUUCAGUUUUGGAAAAGUGAGGAUUGUACUGCAUUUGAACAAAAAUUGCAAUCUUUCACAAUGAAAAAGAUGGAUCUCAACCAUGUUCUGCAACAUACCCAUGCACUCUCCUCCAUAGGAAUAUAUCUUCAGAACCUGCAGCCCAACAUGAGGUUCAAAAUUGUUGAGCACCUUGCUGACACAAACAGAGCUCCAUCUUAAUGUCAGUUCUCUGAGAUCCUUCUUUUUACCGAAAUCUGCCACUUUCGCUUCUGUUUCUAUAUCGAUAUUCUCUAACUGGCAUAGCUCUAGCUGCCCACCAAGGUUUAAAUGCUGCAGCUCUCCAACAUCACUGCAAUCAGGACCAGGAACUCCUGCCACAAACCAUGUCAGCGUCUGUAGGUUAGUGAGUUUUCCUAGUCCUGGAGGCAUGCUCUUCAACCCCGGACAUCCAUGAGUGUAGAGGUGACGGAGGAAAGUCAUAUACUUCAUUUGCAUUGGAAGUCGUUCAAGAUAACGGCAGUCGGAAAGGUCCAACACUUGCAGGUUAUAUAGAAUACUUAUAUCCUCAGGAAGUGCUUCGAUAUCACUCCACGAGAGAUCAAGGUACCUCAGGUGAUGCAGAUACUUUGGUUUGAGCGGAAAUGAUUCUGUUCCCAGACAGAGCUUCAAGGCAUGCAAAGAGCUAUAUUUUGAUAGAUGCUUCAAUGAGCUUUGAAUAGGACUAUCGCAUAUCAGUGUUUGAAUGGCAGGGGACUUUUUCUCCAAAGAAUCAUUCAAAAUACCUUCUGUUUCAUCACAUGACAAGAACAAAUGCCGAGCAGUAUCCGAAAGCCACUCAAUUUGACUUGGUUCCUUAAUUGCAACGACACAUUCCUUUCCCAUAACAGACAUUGCAAUAUCAUGCAUAAGAUCAUGGAUUUUGCAUGUAGUUCUGAAACAGUACUGCUGAUUUUGCAUGUCACCCUUAAAUUCCUCUAUGUCCAGAAAGAAUGACCUUGAUGCUAGCUCACUGAAAAUAUGUUUGCCAACGGUUUCAAGACUAUCUUCCUCCUGUUCUGGGAUAAAGCCAUUUGCAAUCCAAAGUUGGAUAAGCUUCUCCACAUUAAUCUUGUAAUCCUUGGGAAAUAUGGCACAGAAAGCAAAGCAUUGCUUCAUGUGUGCUGGCAAAUCGUUGUAGCUAAGCUUGAGUAUUGGCAAAAUUCCCGUUUCCUCAGUGCAGAUACUGCUUCUAGAUGAUACAACCUUCCAUUCUUCUACGCUGGUCUUGGUACGAAGUACAGAGCCCAGUGCAGUUGCAGCUAAAGGAGAGCCACGACAUCUCUUCACAAUCUCACCAACCAUCUCGAGCAGCUCGGGAGGCUUUUCAUUCUCUGAACUGAAUGCUCUAUCCACAAUAAUUUCCUCUAUGAAGUAAUCCUGCAAAACAUUGAGAUUGUAGGUUCUAUCUACACCCAUAGUUUCAGCAACUUGUUUAUCACGGGUUGUUGUCAACACUGCACUACCCAUGCCACCCUGUUGAAGACAGACCUUCAGCCUUUCCCACUUAUGGACCUCUCUGUUCCAGACAUCAUCCAAUACAAGGAGAUACCUCUGCCCGCUGACCAGUUUUUGAAGUCUAUCCAGUGCUGGUUUGUUUGUAUCAUCAUUUUUCUUGGGGGAUGCUUCAACUAUACUCUUAGCCACCGAAUUCACAUCAAAGGUAUCAGAGAUGCAGACCCAGAGCUGCAACGGAAAAUGCUUCUGAAUUUCAGGUUCAUUGUAUAUGAGUUGCGCCAAUGUGGUCUUGCCAAGGCCCCCCAUUCCAACAAUGGGAACUACUGCAAGAUUUGCAUUGCUAGCUUCACCAAGUAGCACCUUAAUGAUAUUAUUCUUAUCUUCGCGCCUGGAUCUGCUGGCAAUUUCUUGUGGGUCGAUGAUGACAUAAUCUGUGUGCCUCCACUCCUUGGACACUGGUGUCUGCCUCAACUGAUUGGACACCAACAAUGUCUGCCUCAACCCAAAGUCAUGCAUCUCUGCAAUGAGGAAAUUGACGCGGCGCAGAAGCAGGAGGCGACUCCGGUGAAGUUAUGGCGGCCGGCGCCGAACGGUACACACACGGCACAAGACAGUGGAACACAAGGGCUGUGCAGAAUGGUGAGAAGAGUGGUGUGAGCACAGGUGCAGGUGCAGAAUGGAGAAGAGAAUGGUGUGAGCAAGUCGUGCUUGGCUUUCUGUUAACCAAUCACAACUACCCAAUCUUGCAACGUUAACAGCUGGUGUGAGCACUUGGCAUUCUUUUUGGGCAUACCACGUUAACAGCUGGGGGUAUCUUUUUUUCUUAGUAGGGACAGCUGGAGCACCAGACAACCAGAAUAUUGCAAGUGGGUCAUUAUAAUUGAUAUUUAUAUGCCAGUAGAACCAAUGCAGUUUUUCAAAAUUUGCGUUCCACUGGCUGUGAAGUUAGCAAAUACGAUUUACUUUUUCCAAAUACAAAAAGUCGCAGAAAUGCAAAUCUAAAAAUUACCUGCGUGAGACAGCAUACCUAUUUGUGCAAAAGACAAUUCAUCUCGGAGUUUCUGCCACAGAGGGAAGGCCAAAACUUUGGUUUUCUUAAUUGGUUGAAUCUUGAAUGCAUCACAUGCCUCCUGCUGAAGAGAGAAAACCCAGAAACGGCUUUGAGAGCUACAAAGGAACGCCUGUAUUUUUUGUGUUAAUAUUGCCAAUAAUGGUGGAUGGAUCUAGCUGGUAUUUCUAGUUUCUUUUUCAAGAAUACGCUCAGGUCAUCACACAGGUCAUUUAUUUGCACCAGCUGGUUGGUGCACUGCCCCUUCUCUCGAAAUGUGCUUUCAAAAUUCAAACACCUCAUUAAGUGUACAUUUUGAUAUACUAAAGUGCAUAUCAGCAGGAAAAACACAAAUCAUCGCUGGCAUGUCCUUAAGAACUCUGGACUUUUUGGGAGAUUAGAGGAGCAUAUUUUCAGAAUUAGCACAGAUUAGCACAGUCCUCAUGGUGAGAACAACAUAUCCCAAAUUGCCAAUAAAAAUACUACACAGAUUAGCACAAGCACACUGCAGAACGGAGAAGAGAAUGGUGUGAACAAGACUGUGCUUGGUUUGCGUGUGAGAAAAACGGAAGAGCAUUGACUUUCUGGGAGCCAAGUGGCUGAGCUUGAUUUCUCGGAACCAACCACAACUAUCUAAUUUUGCAACAUCUCGGCACUGGGCAUUCUUCCUGAGCUGACAUGAAAUAAGGCAGCUAGCACUGCAUACCAACAGCUCGGGGUAUCUUCAUUUCUUUGCAAGUAUAUCAUUAUAUAAUGUAUGUUAGAUCCAAUGCAGUUUUUCAAAAGUGACAAUGCAUUGGAUGUGAACUCAGCAAACGGUAAGAAUUUCUUUCCAUGUACAAGAAGCUGCAGGAAUGCAAAUUAAACAAUUACCUCCACCGACGGGUGACAACAGACAUACAGUGCACCUACAAAACACAAUCCAUCUCUAAUUAACGCAUAACAUGCUUCCUGCUGAAGAUAGAAGACCCGGAGGCAAGUGGUUAUUUUCUUGUCCAUUUCUAAUGACACCUCUAAUUAACAUUGCAGGGGGCAGGAUCGAUCUCAAAGAGUAGCAUAAUCAGCUGCAGAUGAUUAUCACUUGUUCAUAUGGGCAAAUGAUAUACUUAACAUACGGAUAUGAUAAGACACAACUAGACAAUCUCCUAUUAUUUGACGAUGGAAGAUAUGUACGAGUAUACGAUACAAUUUGAUGAACCUAUUAGGUUCCAUUACUGUGAGACAGUGAAAACCAGAAUAAAGGGCUGUAUGGAGUUUUUUUAUCAGCCUAACGGGGUCGGCUUAAGUAACUAAAAUAAGAUGAAGCCUAACUUUUCAACCAUACAAGCAACAAAGUUAAAGACAGUGAGCUAAAACAAUAGUCGCGUAUACCUUAAAAGAUAAAUUCCCAGUGCCUUUUUAUUGAUCAUCACUGCGUAUGGCCAUAUAAUUUGCUAUUAGAUCAUCAUUAUAUUAUAUAUUUACGUCGGUAGUCGGUACAUACAAUGCAGUUUAUCAAAAGUGACAAUGCAUCCGCUGUGACCAAAGCAAAUAGUACAAAUUUUAUUUCCAAUUACCGAAGGUCGAGGAGUGCAAAUUAAACAAUUACCUCCACCGACGGGUGACAGCACACAUACAGUACACCUACAAAAUACAAUUCAUCUCGAGGACCACAAUAUUGGUUUUCGUGAAUUAUUGAAACUUGAAUGCAUCACAUGCUUUCUGCUGAUGAGAGAAGACCCGGGGGCAAGUGGUUAUUUUCUUGUCUUUUAUAAUGACACCUCUAAUUAACAUUGAAGGGACAGGAUCGGCUCUCAAAGAUAAGAAUAAUCAGCUGGCAGAUGAUUAUCUCUUGUGCAUAUGGACAGAUGAUAUAUACUUUUGUACUGAUAUGCUAAUUCAUGUUUUUCGACAAUGAAUGAUAUGUAUGAGUAUGAGAUACAAUUUUGACGAGCUUAAUAGGUUCUAUUAUUGUGAGGCAGGAACUUAUGGAGUUCUUAUUAUCAACUUAAUGAGAUCCGCUCAUAACCAACUAAAAUCAGAUGAAACCCAACCUUUUAACCAUACAACGGAGGCAGCAGAAAUAAAGAUAGAGAGCUUAACGAGAUCCGCUUAACUAACUAAAAUCAGAUGAAACCUAACUUUUUAACCAUACAAUGGAAGACAAGGGCAGUGCAGAAUGGAGAAAAGAAUGGUGAAAACACAAAUGCGGUGCAGAAUGGAGAAGAGAAUGGUGAGAGCAAGAUGUGCUUGCCUGUAAGGAAAAUGGAAGCCAACGUGAGUGUUGACUUUCUGUGAGCCAAGUGGAUGAGUUUGAUUUUCAGUAACCAAUCAGAACUAUCCACUCUUGCAACAGCUCAGCAUUAGCUGGGCAUUCUUUUUGGGAACACCACGUUAACAGCUGGGCAUAUCUUCAUUUCUUAAUAAGGCACAGCGACAAAGACAACCAGAAUAUUGCAAGUAGAUCAUUAUAUUAGGUAUUUAUAUGCCAGUACAUUGCUUGGCUGUGAACUUAGCAAAUACGAUUUUCUUUUUGCAAAUAUACAAAAGGUCACAGGAAUGCAAAUCUAAAAAUUACCUCAACUGACUAGACGUGUGACAGGAUACCUACUUGUGCAAAACACAAUUCAUCUUAGAGUUGCUGCCAAGGAGGGAGGGCCGGAGUAUUGGUUUUCUUGAUUGGUUGAAUCUUGAAUGCAUCACAUGCUUCGAUUCCCGCUGAAGAGAGAAGACCCAGAAAUGGCUUUUAGAGCCCGGAAGCAACGCCUGUAUUUUUUUUAUAUUGGCAAUAAUGGUGGAUGGAUCUAGCUGGUAUUUCGGGUUUCUUUUUCAGAAUACGCUCAGGUCGUCUCACAGGUCAUUUAUUUGCCCCAGCUGGUUGGUGCACUGUCCCUCUCUCUAAAUGUGACUUCAAAAUUAAAACAUCUAAUUAAGUGUACAUUUUGAUAUACCAAAGUGCAUAUCAGCAGGAAAAACACAAAUCAGCACUGGCAUGUUCUUAAGAACUCUGACCCUUUUGGGUUUUGUACAUAAUAUUGUGGGAGACUAGGGGAAGCAUAUUUUCAGAAUUAGCACAGAUUAGCACAGUAGUAAUUUACGUCAGUACAUAGAAUUUCUGAGCAAGCACAGUGCAGAAUGGAGAAGAGAAUGGUGUGAGCAAGCCAUGUUUGGCUUGCGUGUAAGGAAAAUGGAAGCCAGAAUGAGCAUUGACUUUCUGGGAGCCAAGUGGACGAGCUUGAUUUCUGGGAACCAAUCACAAACUAUCCGAUCUUGCAUACCGUAUUAGCUGGUGACAGCACUGGGUACCUUCAUUUCUUAAUAGGCAAAAGCUUGACAAACCCUCUUAUUGCAAGUCAGAAUGAAGAUUUCUCAUUCUUAAUAUCGCAAGUAGGUCAUUAUAUUACGUAUUUACGUCAGUACAUCCAAUGCAGUUUUUCAGAAAUGACCAUGCAUUGGCUGUGAACUCGGAAAAUAGUAAGAAUUUUCUUUCCAAAUACAAGAAGUCGCAGGAAUGCAAAUUAAACAAUUACCUCAACUGACGGGUGACAGCACGCAUACAUUGCACCUACCAAAUACUACCUCCGUUCCAUAAUAUAAGAGUGUUUUUUACACUAUUGUAGUGUCAAAAACGCUCUUGUAUUAUGGGACGGAGGGAGUACAAUUCAUCUCGAGGACAACGACAUUGGUUUUAGUGAAUUCAUUGAAACAUGAAUGCAUCACAUGCUUUCUGCGGACGAGAGAAAACCCGGGGGCAAGUGGUUAUUUUCUUACCUUUUUUAAUGACACCUAUAAUUAACAUUGAGUUAACUGGGCAAUUCUCUUCUCCUUAAUUAAUCGAUGAGGCAAAUCUUUUGCCUCCGUUUCGAAAAAAUAAUAAUAAUUAACAUUGAGUACAGGAUCGGAUCUCAAAGAUAAGAAUAAUCGGCUGGCAGAUGAUUAUCUCUUCUGUAUGUGGACAAAUGAUAUAUACUUUUGUACUGAUAUGAUAAUUUACGUUAUUCAAUGAUGAAAGGUAUGUAUGAUUAUGAGAUACAACUUCGACGAGCUUAAUAGGUUCUGUUAUUUUGAGGCAGUGAAGACCAGAAUAAAGGACUGUAUGGAGUUCUUGUCCUUUAUUAACAAGGUCCGCUUAACAAACUAAAAUCAGAUGAAACCUAACUUUUUAAUCAUACAAUGGAGGCAGCAAAAAUAAAGAUAAAGAGCUUAACGAGAUCCGCUUAUAACUAACUAAAAAUCAGCUGAAACCUAACUUUUUAACCAUACAACGGAGGCAGCAAAAAUAAAUACAGAGAGCUAAAAAAAUAGUGACGUAUACAUUAGAAGAUAAAUUCCAGUGCCCUUUUAUUGAUCAUCACUGCCUAUGGCCAUAUAAUUUGCUAUUAGAUCAUCAUGAUAUUAAUAUAUUUAUGUCGGUACAUCCAAUGCAGUUUUUCAAAAGUGAAGAUACAUUGCCCGUGAACUCAGCAAAUAGGAGUGUUCUUUCCAGAUACAAGAAGUUGCAGCAAUGCAAGCUAAACAAUUACCUCCACUGCUGGGUGACCACAGGGAGGACCACAAUAUUGGUUUUCGUGAAUCUUGAAUGCAUCACAUGCUUCCUGCUGAAGAGAGAAGACCCGGUGGCAAGUGAUUAAUUUUUCUUGUCCUUUAUUAAUGACACCUCUAACUAACAUUGAAGGGGCAUGAUCGAGCUCAGAGAUUAGCAUAAUAAGCUGGCAGAUGACCAUCCCUUGCUCAUAUGGACAAAGGAUACACUUAAUAUACUGAUAUGAUAAAAACACAGCUUGACAAUCUCCUGUUAUUCGAAGAUGAAAGAUAUGUAUGAGUAUGCGAUACAAUUUGUGGGUUUUCUUUAUUUUUGAGACAUACAAUUUGGUGAGCUUAAUAUGUUCCGUUAUUGUGAGACAUUGAAAAGCGGAAUAAAGGGCCAUGUGGAAUUCUUUUUAUCAGAUUAACGAGAUCGUCUUCACUAACUAAAAUCAGAUGAAGCCUAACUUUGCAACCAUACAACGGAAGCAACAAAAAUACAGACAGAGACCUCGAACAACAGUGGCCAUAUGAAUGAGAUCUGGGACUCGGCCAUAUGAACAACAGUGAAGAUAAAUUCCAGUGUCCUUUUAUUGAUCGCUGCCUAUGCCCAUAUAAAUGAGAUCUGGGACUCAGCCCGCUCCAACAUGGCUCUAGAAAGCACAUUUCCUCUGACGCACAUAUGAAAUACGACAGUACAAAACAGAACAAACACUGAGAUUAUAAUUAUACAGAUGACUGGAUGCUGUAACUAACUUGGAUAUCGCUGCACCGAAGACGGACUUUCUUCUCAGACAUCAGAGAGAAACGGAAUGUCCAUGCCAACUGCUUCUCCUCGACUCCACCUGCACAGCGCGCAUAGGCGGAAAUUUGAUGAUUAUUUGAAGUGACAUACACAUAAAGCACAGAGUUACUCAGCUAACAAAGCACGUAUGUACAUCGCUGUCAGGCUGAAUCCUGCUUCCUGACAAUCGGAAUUCAUGUGAAUCGAAUCGCUGGAAGAGACGGACAGACAGGAUCGAUACCUUGUGUCCACGGCGAGGCCUGAGUGGCUGCCGUCGACGUACGACCCGCAACCGACGGAGGAGCUCCGGGACCUUCUUGUCGAGACCAUCUGCAAUGGAAGUAAAAAAGAGCUGUUAGAAGAGGAUCCGAAAGAGGUUGAUGGUAGGAAGGAAUGGGAAGGGGAACGAGUGGGUGCCUCGAGCGGCCGCGGUGGUGGUGGGCGGGCGGAUGCGGAGGGUGGGAGGGAGGCUGACACCUCCGCCGCCACAGACGUACGUGGAGCGGCCGCGGGCGGUGGGAUCCGGGAGAGGCUGCGGCGGCGAGCGGUCCGGCCGGCGAGGAGGACGGGGAAGGGAGAGACGAAGACGACGCAGAUCGGCGGAAUGUGGGCUGGGCUUGUGACUUUGAGGCCUCCGAAAACUAUAGCCCAGUUCGAAUUGGUGCCCUAACACACACAACACUUACGUUGGGCCUAAUCGCUCGCUCCUGCCCCUGCUCAAAAUUUUUUUUGCUCCAGGCUGGGGGCCUCUGUUCCACCCCCAUCUAUCGCUCCACCUCCAAACAAAAAAAAAAUCUAUCACUCCACCUCCACUCCAAAAAUAUAAAAUUCUAUCAAUCCACCUACGCCUCGAAAAAAGAAAUCUAUCACUCCACCUCAGCAUUGAUGUCUCUAGCUUGUAGAAACUGCCAUCCUUUACAUGUAAAACGGAUUCGAUGAGUCAUGUCAUGCUCUAUAGACGUCAGUUCAUCUUAUCAUCUUACAGGAAAGUACAAAGUUAGUUUUCUGAAAAGCAACCGAAUAUAGAAGAACACUCCACACUCAAGGCUUUACUAAUCGAGCAUAUCCUAACAGCCCACACAUGAUUGCAAACUUAGUCAUACACAAGUUUUGCCUUUCUUGUUUACGGCUGACAGCCUAUACAAGGUUCCAAACUCGGUUGUAAAAGUGAUACUAUCUUGAUAAGUGUGUGACAUGUAAAGUUAAUAAGGUGAGUCAUAUAUAGCAAAUAUCGGGGUUUCUGUACUUUGUGUGUGAUCGUAUGCACAACUAAAAAUCAACUUUGAUGAUCAAUAUAUCCAAAAGUACGCUUGUAGCUAGUGCAAACCUAACCCAAUGUAACAAAAUAAUUCAUUUCAGAUGGAGCCAAACAGAAUUAUUAAAGCUGAUGCAAAGAAGGAAAAGAGGUGGUUCCUGGGCUACUAUAAAUAGGCAUGAAGUAUAAAGAUCAUCACAAGCACAAGCAUCAGAACCAAGCAACACUAGUUAACACCAAUCCACCAUGAAGACCUUCCUCGUCUUUGCCCUCCUCGCCGUUGCGGCGACAAGUGCAAUUGCGCAGAUGGAGACUAGAUGCAUCCCUGGUUUGGAGAGACCAUGGCAGCAGCAACCAUUACCACCACAACAGACAUUUCCACAACAACCACUAUUUUCACAACAACAACAACAACAACUAUUUCCUCAACAACCAUCAUUUUCGCAGCAACAACCACCAUUUUGGCAGCAACAACCACCAUUUUCUCAGCAACAACCAAUUCUACCACAGCAACCACCAUUUUCGCAGCAACAACAACUAGUUCUACCGCAACAACCACCAUUUUCACAGCAACAACAACCAGUUUUACCUCCACAACAAUCACCUUUUCCACAACAACAACAACAACACCAACAGCUGGUGCAACAACAAAUCCCUGUUGUUCAGCCAUCCAUUUUGCAGCAGCUAAACCCAUGCAAGGUAUUCCUCCAGCAGCAGUGCAGCCCUGUGGCAAUGCCACAACGUCUUGCUAGGUCGCAAAUGUUGCAGCAGAGCAGUUGCCAUGUGAUGCAACAACAAUGUUGCCAGCAGUUGCCGCAAAUCCCCCAGCAAUCCCGCUAUGAGGCAAUCCGUGCUAUCAUCUACUCCAUCAUCCUGCAAGAACAACAACAGGUUCAGGGUUCCAUCCAAUCUCAGCAGCAGCAACCCCAACAGUUGGGCCAAUGUGUUUCCCAACCCCAACAGCAGUCGCAGCAGCAACUCGGGCAACAACCUCAACAACAACAAUUGGCACAGGGUACCUUUUUGCAGCCACACCAGAUAGCUCAGCUUGAGGUGAUGACUUCCAUUGCGCUCCGUAUCCUGCCAACGAUGUGCAGUGUUAAUGUGCCGUUGUACAGAACCACCACUAGUGUGCCAUUCGGCGUUGGCACCGGAGUUGGUGCCUACUGAUAAGGAAAGAUCUCUAGUAAUAUAUAAUUGGGUCACCGUUGUUUAGUCGAUGGAUAUGUCGAUGCAGCGGUGACAAAUAAAGUGUCACACAAUGUCAUGUGUGACCCGCCCAAACUAGUUGUUUAAAUUCUGAAAUAAAAUAAAAAUAAAGUUGUAUCAAGACAAUGUUCAUAUUGGCAUUGUGUGGAUGUCAAUCUGAUUGCCAUGCUUGCAAGUUCAUAAGUUUGUCUUUCCUUGUCACAAGCGCAACCUGGUGCCUUAAUUAAUUAUCAAUGUACUGGAAUAAUCACUAUUUAAAUAUAAUAGUGUCACUGUAAAAUUUGGGUUGAACUCUUUAUUGGUUGGAGAUUUGAGAUCUUGUUUUUUAUUGGUUUGUAUCUAGUACCAACUAGUACCACUGUCUACAGUGACAAUCACAACCAGUUUUGUUGCUAAUUAUGUUUGCUUUCUUGCAAAUACAUUCAUUGAUUCUUUGCAUGUCAAAUUAUUUGCCGAGAAAAAUACCAGCUUUUUCUUGAACUUCACAAACACCACUAGCUAGUUAAUUUGAAAUAAGCUGCCAAUUUAUUUCCUUGUAUUUAUGCCCUUUACAUCGAACCAGUACAAUCAUUGUGCUAGCUAGAGAAAAGGAGUUGCUGGCACGUUCAUGUCUAGAACUAAAUCAGACUGAAUUGAACUUGUUCUUUACAACUAGCUAGGAGCAGAAAACUUACUGUGAAUUGCACUUGAUUAUAUUUGAUUUUGUUUAAGAGCUACAGGGAAAAAUCAUCAAAAAAUGCCCUAAAAUAUCUUAUCGUAAAAUAGGUUCACCAGGAGAUACAGUCGCAAGAAAAAAAAGGCUCACCAGGAGAUAGAUGCUGCACAUUAUCAUUUAGAAAUUAGACCAAGAGAAAUGUGGAUUUGGCGGCUCAUAAUUCUAUAAGACUAUAACAGGUUGUCCAAUCAUUUAGAAAUUAGAUCAAGAAAAUGUGGAACUAAACAUAUUAAUGGCUAGGAUCAUAUUUGCACUGUGGGAACUUGGUAUGCGCGCUCCAACAUGCCCGUUGAAAGCAUUUUUUCCUCUGAUGCACAUAUGAAAUAUGACUGGUCGAAAACAGAAGAAACAGUGAGAUAAUAUGGAUGCUUGGAUGUUGUAACAAACAUAAACUUAUUAUAUAUAUAUCCAAUCCACCGAGCGGACGAACAUCCUAGGAGCUUUUCUCUCGGAGAUCGAAAAGAAACGAAAUGUCCACGCCAACUGCUUCUUCUCCAUCUGUAUAACGCGUGUAGGAGAAUUAUUUUGAUGAUUAUUUGAAGUGGCAUCCACAUAGAGUACAAAGCUAUUCAGCUAGAAAAGCCACAAAUGUACAUCACUUUUAGCCUACAUGACUGAACUCUGCUCCAUGACCUUCUUGAUUCAUGCGGCUCCUGAAUUCAUGUGAAUCGAAUCGCGGAAGAGAUAGGCUUUCAGGGUCAAUACCUCAUGUUCAUGGGAAGGCCGGAGAGGCUGCGUCGAUGUGCAGCCUGAACCCGAGGAGGAGCUCCGUGUCGGUGUCAAAACCGGCGGAUCUCGGGUAGGGGUCCCGAAUUGUGCGUCUAGGAUCGAUGGUAACAGGAGACGGGGGACACGAUGUUUACCCAGGUUCGGGCCCUCUCUAUGGAGGUAAUACCCUACUUCCUGCUUGAUUGAUCUUGAUGAAUAUGGGUGUUACAAGAGUUGAUCUACCAUGAGAUCGUAAUGGCUAAACCCUAGAAGUCUAGCCUAUGUGUAUACGGUAAUGAAUGUCCCCUAUCCGGACUAUGCUCUCCGGUUUAUAUAAACACCGGAGAGAUCUAGGGUUACAUGGAGUCGGUUACAUAAGAAGGAAUCUUCACAGCUGGUCACCUAGCUUGCGUUCCACGCCAAGGGAAGUCCAAUCCGUACACGGGUGUAGUCUUCGGCCUUCGUAUCUUCACAGCCCAUCAGUCCGGCCCAAUGAAUAAUAGGCCGGACGCCCGAGGACCCCUUAGUCCAGGACUCCCUCAGUAGCCCCUGAACCUGGCUUCAAUGACGAGGAGUCUGGCGCGCAGAUUGUCUUCGGCAUUGCAAGGUGGGUUCCCUCCUUCCGAAUUCCGGAAUAGUCUUCGGAUGCAGUAGAUAUAUUUGGACCUGUGUAUAUAAUUGCAAAAAAUACAAUAUUCCACGAGUCUAAUUUGUUGAUAACUGUUUACAACAUCGCAUCACGCCUGCCCGGUUACUAUUUCCAACCGUUGGCUGGCACGUCGCCCCACGUCUCGGGACGCGGUUUUACUGGCACGUCUUGCCAAGGCAGAGAUCGUGUUCCCUUAUUCACGGGACUUUCAUUAAUGCAAGCGUGGGUAACCCAACCGUCCCCUGGGUACAACUCUCUGGGGAUAGGUAAGUUUCGAGACCCAGGUGGAUACCCUUAGUAUUUGGGGUCUUUAUAUAGGGCCCCAGACUCGUCUUCUUCCUUUGCGCUUGCUUCUUCCUCAACCCUAGCCACCCCAAGUUCCAACCCUCGGGUUCCCAUCGCCACCAGCCCUAAUCAUGUCCGAAUCCAGCCGUCAAGGCCGGUGGGUGGCUUCUUCUAUCACAGAGGAGGAUAUUGCAAAGCUCUGCGCAGUGAGGUAUCUGACCCCGGAAAUCCUUCAUCAGCUUCCUGCACAGGGGCAGGUCGUUCCUACCCCCAAAUCCGGCGAGAGGGUAGUGUUUGUGUCCCACUUCCUCCAUGGGUUAGGUUUCGCGCUUAACCCCUUCGUCCGGGGGCUCAUGUUCUACUAUGGGCUAGACUUUCACGAUCUAGCCCCGGACUCUAUUCUUCUCAUCUCGACAUUUAUCGUCACGUGUGAGGCCUUCCUUCGGACUCCUCCGCACUUUGGUUUGUGGCUCAAGACCUUUGAUGUGAGGCCGCAGGUGACAGAGGAGGAGCAGGCAGAGUGUGGCAGCGUCACAAUAGGCAAGCUUGCCAGCGCGGUUUGGUUUGAAGGAUCUUUCACCAAGUCUUCCGACCUAUGGCAGCACGGGUGGUUUUAUAUCAACGAGCCGCGGGGCUCCAAGUGGGAGGCUACGCCUGCGUUCCGACCCGGCCCUCCAAUUCAGCUCGCUUCAUGGAUCAAUAAGGGACUGGACUGGGGAUCCGUCAAUGAAAUGCAGACUCUGCAAGGUCGCAUCCGAAGCCUUACCAAGAAGGGCAUCGGUCUUGUGAACGUCGUUCAAGUAAUGCUAGUCCGCCGGACCCUGCCAUGUCAGCGGCGGCCUCUCCGUAUGUGGGAGUUUAAUUCAGAAGGGCAGCGGCCUCUUCAGCACUUCUUCGGCACCACGCACGAAGGAAUGUGGAAAUUAUAUUUCGGGGAACGAGAGCAAUGGCCGGACACCACCGAAGAUGUCGGCCUUGACUGCAAUCAUCCAGACACCGCGGUAAGUACUCAAACGCUGAACACAUUCAAGCAUCUCUUGACAACAUACUGAACAAUCCGUCCCUAUACAGGACUGGAUAAAGAAAGCAGUGUUAAUCUGGUGUCCGGCGCCCCUUCCCGAAGACUCUGCGACCGCCCUGCUGACGAGAAUGCUGAUUCCCACACCGUACCAGGUUUCUGCGGAGGAGGGCGAGAGCGGGGAACCCGAAGGUGAUACCCGCCCUGAGGACGAAUUAGACAUUGUGUUCGGGGAAACCGAAACUCUUUUGCCCAAGGGCAAAGGUGCGGAGGAAGCUCUCCAUGGCAAAAAGAGGGCUGCUUCCGAAGAUCAGGAGGGGAAGCCUUCCAAGAGAGGAAAAAUGCCAUCGUCGGGCAGUUUGGGCCGGCCAAGCGAUGCUGCCGUAAGGCUUUCUGGCGAGGACGAACCUCUGGCCAAACCGUAAGUGAGGCUGGGGCACUUUAAACAUACCUCAUUCUUUUCCUAUUAGUGAAGUAAUCAUCCGACAUAUGCACAUCCACGUAGGUUAACGCCUGGUGUUUCUCAAUCAUCCUCCUCCUCGGGAGACCUUCUUCCGGAGAUGAUGGAGAGUGACACGCCAUCUCCGGCUUCUUCGCGCAACAGGGGGGAUGAUACCGAGGUAUCGUCCCGAAGGGCUCCUCCCCAUCGUCAAGCGGUGCAGGAAACGGAGAAGGCGUUACCCGAAGGUGGUGCCUCUGUCACCCAGGGUUCGGGAAUCAAGAAUGACGGCCCCGAACCAUCCGGUUUACAGCCGGAGAUGAUUCUGGGGGAGAAUAAGCAGAUUAAUUCAAAGGAAUGCCGUACUCCGGCGGCGGUUUCCGAAGACCCCGGAGCGCCGGAAAUGUUGACGGACAUGCUGCGGCGAGCGUCCAUUUCAGAGAAGCACCAUGCCUUGAUGGUUACGGUGGUCGAAAAGGUUCUAUCCGCGAAAAGCGGAUUGAACGAGGCCUUCUGGAGCCUUCUAAGAGGUUUUGAGGUUUGUGAUGUAGUUUUGCCAAUUGAAUGAUUUUGACAGAAUGCACUUGUUGUAUAUGCAGUAGCCCCUGAGACUCGGAUUGCCUUCCGAAGGAAGCGAUCGGAGGAUAAAAAAGAUAUGCUCAGUUACUAACCUUGAAUCAACUUGGAAUACAGGCUGCCUCGCCUCCUGCGGCUACCCGAAAUACGGAAGUGGCCGAACUGCAGCGAAAGCUGAAUAUUGCAGAAGAUGACAUUGCAUUGAUCAACAAGCGUCUUGACGACUCGCAAGGUAUAUAGUUCGAGCAUUCCUUACACGAAUGUUCUUGUAAUGUAGGCCUGACGCCGAAAAGGGUUUAAUGUGCAUGAUUGCAGAUGGUGUUCCCUCCGUUGAAGCUCCUUGUGAGGAGCUAGCCCGGCCCAAGGAGCAGGCCCGGUGUAGUGAUGCGGCUGCCGAGAAGGCAUCGGCUGAUCUAAGAGCCGAAUAAGCAGCUCGGCGCCGAAGUGAGGAGAAAAUAUCCGCACUGGCGCUUGAAUUGAAGAAUACUGCCAGCCACUGUGAAUUCCUUGAGAAGGAGAAUAAAGCCAAAAUGGCUGAACUUGAUAAGGCCGUUCGAGAGGCGAGUGAAGCUCGGUCUGAAUCUAGGGCAGCUUGGGAAGAGAUUCGGCAGGCUAAGGAGAUAGCGGCCGGUAAGCCCUUUUUGCUUCAGACUAAGUUUGGCGAUCCGGACUAUGCUCAGCUAAACCAGGUCUGGAGUUCUCCGACUGAAUUUUUGGACUUGCCGAAGAGUUCUUCCAAUGCAGCGCAAUUUUACCAAGCGCAAGAGGGGUAUGCGAUGGAGAAGCUUUUCUGGUCACAAUUUGGCGCCUCAAAGCGCCCUCUGUUGCUAAAUGAACAGAUGUCCCAGUGGGCCGAGCUUCAUAGGAUAUCCGGCGACGCCAUGAAGAACGUCAUAAUCCGGUUGUGGCCGAGUGAGCCUGUUCCCAAGAGCUAUUUUGGCCUGGUGCGGCGUCUUGUUGAUGCUGUGCCGCGUAUCGAUGCUGCGAAGCGGUCGGCAUGCACUGAGGGUGCACGGAUGGCCUUUGCCCGAGUCAAGACGUUCUGGGGGAAGAUGAAGGCCAUCGAUGUUGCGGCGAAGGGUCCGCCCAAGGGCAAGGACCGUAAUGAGCCGGAGCAUUAUUUUGAAGACGUCCUAGAAGCCGCCCGCCUGAUAGAGGGUCAAUGCUCGAAGAACAUAAUGUUCGAGUGAGGUGUAUUAGAAUUGUAAAAGACAAUUUUAUGAUUGAUCUAUUUUAUAUUUUUGCUCCAAAGCUUGAAUUCCUCCUCUGCGGCCGUUUUAAUAUAAUAUGAAAGUUUUCCAGUCGUCGGCUUCAGCCCCCUCGUAGGAAGUACGGGGGUGUUCGAAAAAACAUUUAAUCACUCUUUGUCCAAUGUCUUGGUCCGUAAAGGAGGUGAUAAUGCAGCGAACCAGGCAAUCGGACUAUAAGGCGUUAACACUUUCACUUAGCCAUAGGAGUUUUAUGGUGGGGCUACGACAUUGCCCCUGGUGUGUAUGCGGCGUAUAAUGCCUUGCAUAUUUGAUCUGAAAAAGAUCCCUCGUAUGACACGGAGAAUCGCUAAGGAUUCCAAGAAGUCGUCAAGUGGUUAAUCAGCUCUCGCCGCAUCAUGACAGUCAGUUUUCGGCUUUCUCUACUGAGGUGCUCGUCCGGUUUAGAACAGGGCACAAUCGCAGUAGUUCUCCCUUUACUACCCUAGCCGAUAGAGCGGAACGUAGGGUAGCAAGCACAGGAGCCGGGCAACCCAACUAUUGACCCAAGACAAUGAUUCGGAGCUGAUGCAUAUAAGGCCAAACUUGCGACGCCCAAGUACGCUAUAGAGUUGUUGGGACUUUUGCUGGCAACUCUUUCGUUCCCAUACCGAGCCCCUGGCAGGGUAUGCCGAGGUGUAUCUGUAACGCAGCCAUUGAGGCCGUACUCAUUGUUGCAAGAGUAUGAAAGAUUAGUUCGGACGAGGUUUACUGGGAACGGAGCAAUAUGCCAAUGACGAAUUUAAAAAUAAUAAAAAAGAAACCACAAGCCCGGCUAUUUGACAUGCUCGGGGUCGGGUACAGAGGAAAAAAAGGCUUAAUACAGGCUCGGAAUAAAGAGUGUGGUCUACAAAAAGUUAUUUUGGACCUCCUGUCGCACGUCUGCGCCGCCCGUCCUCGGGGAGGGGAAUCCUUAAGGGAAGUAGCCCCUUAGGUGAGUGUACGGAUCCGAACUCCGAUAGAGUCCGUUGUAGAUGCUGUCAUGUUGGUCACCUGUUCUUAAGAAAUGAUACAGAAAAAUAAGAAAAACGGAUAAGAACGUUACAGGGAUUCUUGCAGGCUUGUCCAUAUUGUGCUUCCGCCGAUGCCCAUGGUAUCUUGAGUGCGUAGUGAUGUAUGCGUGGUGUGAAUCUCGCCGGUAUGGUAGGUGGGUGGCGGAUGCCGAACUGCUAUUUCUGUUCCGAGAGUGGUCGAACUUCGGAGGGAAACUGCUUCUGGCCCCUGAUAUUCGGCUGGCGAAACGCUCCGUUGUCUUUAUCGCCUGGUGGCCUCCUCCCCUUGCUAUCGGCGUUGAGCUUGCCUGCCUGCUUGAGGACCCAACAAUUUCUGUUAGUAUGGUUAGCUGGCUUAUCAGGAUGACCAUGAAUCUGACAAGGUCGGUCCAAUAUUCUGUCAAGGGUGGAUGAUCCAUCCUGGUUUGCCUUUAGUGGCUUCUUCCAUUGACCGGGUUUCGAAUUGUGAAAUUCGGCGUUGACCGCUGUGUCGCGUAAUCCUUCAGUAUUAUUGCGACUGUUGUGUUCGGUUCGUCGAGGCUUACCGUUGCCGUCUUGAAUUUCGGAAGUGCCCGGGUCACUGGCGUUGUUGCUCUUACGAGCGAGCCAGGUGUCUUCUCCCGCACAAAAGCGAGUCAUCAGAGCGGUAAGGGCUAUCAUGGAUUUGGGUCCUUCCUGGCCGAGGUGACGCGCUAGCCAUUCAUCCCGGAUGCCAUGUUUGAAGGCUGCGAGGGCUUCUGCGUCCGGACAGUCGACAAUAUGUUUUUUUUUUUGACUAAGAACCUAGUCCAGAGCUCCCUGGCGGACUCGCCGGGCUUCUGGACAAUAUGACCAAAGUCAUCAGCAUCUAGUGGCCGGACAUAUGUUCCCUGGAAGUUGUCUCGAAAGGCGUCUUCCAAGUCUUCCCAGCUACCAAUAGAAUUUUCUGGUAAACUGUUUAGCCAGUACCGGGCUAGCCCUUUAAGCUUGAGAGGUAUGUAUUUAAUGGCAUGAAGGUCGUCUCCGCGAGCCAUGUGGAUAUAUAUGGAGGAGGUAAUCCUCAAUCCAUACCGCGGGAUCUGUUGUUCCAUCGUAUGAUUCGAUAUUAAUGGGUUUAAACCCGUCUGGAAAUUCAUGCUCCAUUACCUCGUCGGUGAAGCAAAGAGGGUGUGCGGCUCCUCUAUGUUGAGCCACACUAUGAAGCACCUCCGGCGGACUCUGUUUACGGAGUUCGGAUCGAGCGUGGUCGGCUCUGUUGUGUCCGAAUAGGUGACCAUCAUUACGGUCGGGGCAUGUCCCCGCGAUCUGUGUAUUGACUUCGUGUGUCAUGUUCUACCCUCCAGGUCCUUGGAUGUCGCGAGUGUUCCCCCGAGCUGUGUUGUUCUUGUUUUGAUGGCCGGAUGGGUUGGUAUGAUGCUCUGCUUGGGCUACUGCUUUGUCCGGACCGAACUGUGGUCGGCCUACAUCCUUAUUCGAUGGUGGUGUGGGCUUCAACGCCCUGCCAUCGUAUUGAGGGGGCCACCUGCUGUUGGGGUGGCUCUUGUCUGGGCCAAUAAGGCCGUAUUGUUCGGCGGCCAAGACCUCGGUCCAUCUAUCAUUGAGCAAAUCUUGGCUCGCUUUAAGCUGCAGCUGCUUCUUUCUUAGGCUCCUUGCAGUGGCUAUGAGCUGGCGUUUAAAGUGCUCCUGCUCGAGAGGUUCCUUAGGCACGAUAAAAUCCUUGUUGUCGAGGAUCUCCUCUUCCUCGGAGAGUGGGAGAUAAUUGCUAUCCUCUGAGUCUCCAUAUGUUACCUGUUCAUCAGGGUUGUCUUGCCCGCCUUCCUGUUCCUCCUGUUCGGAUCCUACCUCAACAGGGUCUUCAUCGUCCGGAGUGUUGUCUUCUCCGGUGCAAGUGUUAUUUUCUCUUGAGCGUCGUGACUUGGAGCGGCGCAAGGCGCGCCGGUGUUCGGACUAUGCACCAGGAGGCUUAUCCUCAAUUGGAUCCUCCUUGUCAUCGUCGAAAGCAUCGUUGGGUGUGUCUAUCAUACACACGUCAUACCAUGAAGUGGUCAUCCCGCGUCUAGCGGGUAGUGAGUUCUGGCCUUGCCCCUCAUCGUCGUCCGUACCGUCGAUGUCUUCAGGGCCGAGGUCAAGCGUGUUGGUUGGGUCUUCGACAGUGGCUAUGAAGUGGGUGGUGGGUGGGAAGCAAAAUUCUCCAUCAUCAGCCGUAAGUUCGAGCCGAACAUAGUUCAGUGGCGAGUCGCCUACCAGAGAUAGGUUUUUUAGUGAGUUUAGUACAUCGCCCAUGGGCGAGUGUUGGAAGACGUCUGCGGCGCUGAACUUGAAGAUCGAUAACCGAUCGAGUUCGGCAUCUGCAGACUCGCAAGGUUCGGAACCUGUCGCCGGGGACGAAUCCGGGGUUCCGCUGAUGCGGAUAUCAUACGCAGUAGAAUCUGUGUGCGGCUCGAACGCCGCCGAAUCGGUAGCCCUCGUGAUGGGGUUGAGCUUCCCAUCCCGGGACGACUUGAUCUGCUCCGGAUCUAAGGCCAGAGUUGCUGUAGGAGCUAUCUCCUCGAUGCGGCCCAAUGACAGGUUUAAGCCAUGUCCAUCGAGGCGGCGGGAGCGAUUGCCGCGGUCUUGAAUCCGUCGAAGAUCAAGUCUCCACGGACGUCCCCAACGUAGUUCAAGCUUCCGAAUCUGACCUGAUGGCCAGGGGCGUAGCUGUCGAUCUGCUCCAGAUGGCCAAGCGAGUUGGCCCGCAGUACGAUGCCACCGAACACGAAGAUCUGUCCGGGGAAAAAGGUUUCUCCCUGGACAACGUCACCAUCGACGAUUGAAGGGGCCAUCGAACCUUUUGUCGACGGCACAGUGGAACUCUCAAUGAAAGCACCAAUGUCGGUGUCAAAACCGGCGGAUCUCGGGUAGGGGGUCCCGAACUGUGCUUCUAGGAUCGAUGGUAACAGGAGACGGGGGACACGAUGUUUACCCAGGUUCCGGCCCUCUCUAUGGAGGUAAUACCCUACUUCCUGCUCUAUUGAUCUUGAUGAAUAUGAGUGUUACAAGAGUUGAUCUACCACGAGAUCGUAAUGGCUAAACCCUAGAAGUCUAGCCUAUGUGUAUAUGGUAAUGAAUGUCCCCUAUCCGGACUAUGCUCUCCGGUUUAUAUAGACACCGGAGAGAUCUAGAGUUACAUGGAGUCGGUUACAUAAGAAGGAAUCUUCACAGCUGGUCGCCUAGCUUGCCUUCCACGCCAAGGAAAGUCCAAUCCGGACACGGGUGUAGUCUUCGGCCUUCGUAUCUUCACAGCCCAUCAGUCCGGCCCAAUGAAUAACAGGCCGGACGCCCGAGGACCCCUUAGUCCAGGACUCCCUCACUCGGAGACCUUCUUGUGGGGACCAUCUACGAGAGGAAGUAAAGAGGGAGAUCAGAAGAGGAUACAUGAGAGGUUAGGGUGGGGAGGAGGCUGCGCCGGCGAGCGGCCACGGCUCAAGGCGGUCCGGCCGACGAGGAGGACGAACAAGGGAGAGGAAGAUGCAGAUCGGCAAACUGUGGGUUGGGCUUAUGACGUUGGGUUCUCACAAAACUAUAGCCCAUUUCGAAUUUGGUGCCCGUGACGACACACACACAACGCUUAUGUUGGGCCUAAUCACUCACUUCCAGCCCCCAACUCUGAUUUCCCCCUCAAAGAAAAACAAAACUUCAACCCUUCUCACUCCCCAUGAUCACAACAACAACAACAGAAAUAUCUAUAUGCAAGAUCAGGAAAUAUCUAUAAGGGGCAUUCAGAACACAUGUGACCUAAUCGCUAUAACAGCUUGAUAUUAUGGUGGGAUAGACAUAAACUGGUUCACGAAGGAAAGUUUCAUGAUGCAAACCAAAAUUCAAGGGGAGCACGUGCUAUAAUGGCAAACUAUGUUAAUGCCUACUCCCCUAAAGCAACUAGUAAAACAGGGGGAUGGAGUAUCCCUUCUAGGGUUUUUGUGAAGCUGAAUAUUGAUGUAUCUUUUCAUCAUGGUCUGCUUCAGGGUACAUCGGGGGUUAUUCUUAGACAUUACAAAGGCAGGCUCAUUGUCGGUGGAAACUGGAGGAUAGAUUGUCGUGCGGAUGUAUUAGCAGCAGAAGUUGUGGUGCUAAAGUUUGGGUUAUUCCUUGCACAGAAGGCGGAUUGCAAUCGUCUUGUUGUUAACUCGUACAGUACAUAAGUGAUUGACACAAUAAAGAAUGGAUGACACUCGACCGGAGCGGCGGUUGUAGUUUUCUAUGAUUGUUAAUUUUUGGGCUUGUGAUUUUUCUUUUAUUAGAUUUGAACUUUGUAAUAGGGAAGUAAAUAAGAUGGCAAAUGAAAUUGCUAGGCCAGCGAAAUUUUUUGUCACUAGUGAUUGGUUUGAGGAGUGAAUGAGAUUGUGCCUUUUUUAUUGACAAUGUAACAGUUGUUUCUAAUAAAUAAAGUUGAAGUUUUAUUGAAAAGGACAACAACAAGAAAAAAUAUCCUCAUCUUGUCCCAAGGGAUCUGAAACCCCAGUAUCCUUGCAUCUUUCUUUUGCAUGGCAUGUACAUAAGAUUUUCUUUGUUAGUAGCAUGUGUUGUUGGCGGUGGCGGCAUGAUGUUAGAGGUGACAUGUGUGGACGGAUGAUUGUUUCGACUCCAUUUAUUCUUAGGGCCUGUACAAUGCUAGGUGUUCAGCGAAGUGCUUAGAAAAAUAAACUGAGUUUUUAAAGCAUUUUUUAAGCACCGAUGUCUAUUUCUAAUGAUGAGAGACACCUAAUUAGACGUUUACCCUAUACAAAUAAACGUCGAUGCUUUAAGAAAUACUGAUUUAUUUAUCUAACAACCUUUCUUACGCACCUUACAUGGUAAGGUUCGAGAGCUAGUGGCGUCUUGGUUUCUCUUGUUUCUGUCACAUCAAUAUCAUGCUUUGGAUAUAUUCCAGUGCCCUUUUAUUGAUCACUGCCUAUGGCCAUUGAAAUGAGAUCUGGGACUCGGCCAGCUGCAAGAUACCUCUAGAAAGCGAAUUUCCUCUGACGCACAUAUGAAAUAUGACAGUACAAAAUAGAACAAACACUAAGAUUAGACAGAUGAUUGGAUGAUGUAACUAACUUAGACAUCGCUGCACCCAGGACGGACUUUCUUCUCAGACAUCAGAGAGAAACUGAGUGUCCAUGCUGUCAGAGACGCUGGCCAUUGGGCGUUGUCAGUGACUUUAGUCUCGCCUCGGAUAUGGGAGGGGCUAGAACCACCUUAUAAGGAGGAGUGCCACACUCCCUUCAGGCUAGUCUUUUGCGAUGUGGUGGACUCUUUGCUUAUAGUGGUGUGUCUGAUGCACACCGGAAACGUCCGAACAUAUGCCGAAGGUUGGGAGCCGGGCCUGGGACGCUAACAAUUGGUAUCAUAGCUGGGCCCCAGUCUGCCCUGUUUUAGGGGGAUGAGGUGUCAGAGACGCUGGCCAUUGGGCGUUGCCAGUGACUUUAGUCCCACCUCGAAUAUGGGAGGGGGCUAGGACCACCUUAUAAGGAGGAGUGCCACACUUCCUUCAGGCUAGUCUUUUGGGAUGUGAUGGACUCUUUGCUUAUAGUGGUGUGUCCGAUGCGCACCGAAAAUGUUCGAACAUAUGCCAGAGGUUGGGAGCUGGGCCUGGAACGCUAACACAUGCCAACUGCUUCUCCUCCACUCCACCUGCAUAGCACGCAUAGGAGGAAAUUUGAUGAUUAUUUGAAGUGAUAUCCACAUAAAGCACAGAGUUACUCAGCUAGCAAAGCACCUAUGUACAUCACUGUAUGGCUACCCAACUGAAAAUUCUGCUUCCUGACCCUCCUGAUUCAUGCGGGUGGCAUGGAGAUGGGUACGCCUCUCGAAUCCAUGUGAAUCGAAUCGUUGGAACAGAUGGACGGACAGGGUCGAUACCUUGUGUAGAUGGGGAGGGGAGGCCGGAGUGGCUGCCGUCGACCGACGUACGGCCCGCAGCCGACGGAGGAGCUUCAAAAGUGACCUUUUUGUCGAGCGAUGGCGGUGGUGGUGGGGUGCCGGAUGCGGAGGGUGGUGGGAAGCCGGAUGCGGAGGGUGGAAGGAAGGCUGACGCCUCCGUCGCCGCGGACGUACGAGGAGCGGCCGCGAGCGGUGGGGUCCGGGAGAGGCUGCGCCGGCGAGCGGUCCGGCCGGCGAGGAGGACGGGGAAGGGGAGACGAAGACGACGCAGAUCGGCGGAGUGUGGGCUGGGCUUGUGACGUUGGGGCCUCCGAAAACUAUAUCCCAGUUCGAAUUUGGUGCCCUAACACACAACUCUUACGUUGGGCCUAAUCACUCCCUCCUGGCUCCAUCUAUCAUUCCCCAAAAAAAAUCCUUCACACAUAGAUGGAACUGAUGAUUCUCAAAAGAAAAAGAGAUGGAACUGAUUGUGUCAUGUCUUAAAAAAAAGAUCGAACUGAUUGUCUAAAAAAAACAUAGAUGGAACUGAUGAUUUAUCUCCGAAAAAAAGAUGGAACUGAUGAUGACGUGUCUAGAGUUAGGACCGGAUAUAUGUUAGUAGGAGUAGCUUGUAAGAAAUUACCAUCCUUUACAUAUAACGGGAAUUCGAUGAGUCAUGUCAUGCUCUAGAGGCGUCAGUUCAUCUUAUCAUCUUAGAGGAAACUACAAAGUUAUUUUUAUGAAAAGCAACCAACUCUAGAAGAACCCUCCACACGCAAGGCUUUAAUAAUCGAGCAUAUCUUAACAGCCCACACACGAUUGCAAACUUAGUCCUACACAAGCUUUGCCUUUCUUCUUUACGGCUGACAGCCUAUACAAGGUUUCAAACUCGGUUGCAAAAGUGAUACUAUCCUGAUAAGUGUGUGACAUGUAAAGUGAAUAAGGUGAGUCAUAUAUAGCAAACAUCGGGGUUUCUGUACUUUGUGUGUGAUCAUAUGCACAAUUAAAAAGCAACUUUGAUGAUCAAUCCAAAAGUACGCGUGUAGCUAGUGCAACCUAACGCAUUGUACCAAAAAUCAUUUCAGAUGCAUCCAAACGGAAUAAUUAAAGCUAAUGCAAAGAAGAAAAGAGGUGGUGCCCAGGCUACUAUAAAUAGGCAUGAAGUAUAAAGAUCAUCACAAGCACAAGCAUCAAAACCAAGCAACACUAGUUAACACUAAUCCACCAUGAAGACCUUCCUCAUCUUUGCCCUCCUCGCCGUUGCGGCAACAAGUGCCAUUGCACAAAUGGAGAAUAGCCACAUCCCUGGUUUGGAGAAACCAUCGCAGCAACAACCAUUACCACUGCAACAAACAUUAUCGCACCAACAACAACAACAACCUGUCCAACAACAACCACAACCAUUUCCACAACAGCAACCAUGUUCACAGCAACAACAACCACCAUUAUCGCAGCAACAACAACCACCAUUUUCACAACAACAACCACCAUUUUCGCAGCAACAACAACCAUCAUUUUCGCAGCAACAACAACCACCAUUUUCACAGCAACAACCACCAUUUUCGCAGCAACAACAACCAGUUCUACCGCAACAACCAUCAUUUUCGCAGCAACAACUACCACCAUUUUCACAGCAACAACCACCGUUUUCGCAACAACAACAACCAGUACUACCGCAACAACCACCAUUUUCGCAACAACAACAACCAAUUCUACCGCAACAACCACCAUUUUCGCAACAACAACAACAACCAGUUCUACCGCAACAACAAAUACUAUUUGUUCAUCCAUCUAUCUUGCAGCAGCUAAACCCAUGCAAGGUAUUCCUCCAGCAGCAAUGCAGCCCUGUGGCAAUGCCACAAAGUCUUGCUAGGUCGCAAAUGUUGCAGCAGAGCAGUUGCCAUGUGAUGCAACAACAAUGUUGCCAGCAGUUGCUGCAAAUCCCCCAGCAAUCCCGCUAUGAGGCAAUCCGUGCUAUCAUCUACUCCAUCAUCCUGCAAGAACAACAACAGGUUCAGGGUUCCAUCCAAACUCAGCAGCAGCAACCCCAAGAGUUGGGCCAAUGUGUUUCCCAACCCCAACAGCAGUCGCAGCAGCAACUCGGGCAACAACCUCAACAACAACAAUUGGCACAGGGUACCUUUUUGCAGCCACACCAGAUAGCUCAGCUUGAGGUGAUGACUUCCAUUGCGCUCCGUACCCUACCAACGAUGUGCCGUGUCAAUGUGCCGUUGUAUAGAACCAC
rnacentral:lncRNA from 1 species